CAGAUAUUUUACAGGAUUGGUUCGUCUGUAAGUCUCGGCAAUAGUUGUCUGGUCAAACUCACCACAAAGACAUGGGUAUGAAUCUAUAUUAAUUGUACAUAUCAUUUAAAUGUUUUUUGAAACAUUCAGUACAUUAUACAUGGGCCAUACAAGAAAUUUCACGAGGAAUGUCAUCCCAAAUACCCCCAUUUGGCAGUUUGGGCAUAUUUUUCCUUAUGAUGAACCUUAAAUAUUUGCUUUGACGCCUUCCUGCAACGUCGAUGUAAGGCGUCAAAGAAAAAAAUGUAAUAGCCUUUCAACACGUCAUAAUUAUUUGGACUAAGAGUAAGAAUUUGGUAGUCCAAAUAAUUAUGACGUCUUGAAAGGCUAUUAUAUUUUUUUUCUUUGACGCCUUACAUCGACGUUGCAGGAAGGCGUCAAAGCAAAUAUUUAAGGUUCAUCAUAAGGAAUUGAAAAAUAUGGCCGUGUUUACACCUCCAAAAUUACUAUGAGUACAGACAAACUGGUACAUCCAGGAAAGUUUUAAGGCAUGGCAGGAACUAGAUAUAUAAAAGUUAUAUGAAGUCUACGUUUCAGAAAAUUAUAAACUUAUCUGGAUUUUGAUGUUCAUUUUUUUCCAGUCUGCAGAAGAUAGCAAAAUAAAUAAACACCCGAGUUUCAUUUGAUACGGUCCACUCAGUUACACAGUUUAAACCUGUUAAAUCACCUAUUGUUUACAGGUGUCUAUUGUCCAUCUAUUGUCCAUUUAAAUCAAUACUACUCACAACAUUGAUUAUAUGAGGGGAGCUUCUCAAUCGUUUUCACUACUUAGUUAAUUUUUGCACCUUUUGCGGGAACGAAAAAAAAUGGACAGCAAAAUCAAGAAAAGUUUAUAAUUUUCUGAAACAUAAAAUGCAUUUAUAUCUCUAGUUCCUGCCAUCCCUUAAAACUGUUGCAGACAGUGUAUAGGUUAGUCUGUACUCAGAGUAAAAUUUGGGGUGUAAAUACGGCCAUUUUAGCCAAAAGGUUAUGAUGAACCUUAAAAUAGCCUUGUAAAACAUCAUAAUUUUUUGAACUUCCAAAUUCUGGAAAUUAGUUAUUACAUUUUCUAGUCUGUACUCUUCUUCUCAGUCAUAACCUGAUGCCUCCUUAUCAGGGUUAGACACUAACAUUAGAGGAUAUAUAGUCCACAGGACUACCAAGAAAAAAAUUUGGGUAGUCCUGGUAGUCCACCUCUAUCACCGGUGAGGGCAGCAACGUUGCCCUAACCUGCUAGGGGGGUUUGGGGGCAUGCCCCCCCCCCGAAGAAAAUUUUUCAAAAUAAGAUGCAAUUUCGCGCCAUCUGAGCACCUAAAAAGCACACAAAUGUUAAUUUCAGUUUUAAAAAUAUAUUGUUUUUUUUUAGAUAAAAGUUAACAUUCAGUGAAUCAAUUUUAUUCCAACUGAACUUUUCCCCCAAGGAAAUUUUGAAAAAUGAGAUGCAAAAUCCUGCAAUCUGAGACAAUUUCUAAGACCUUGUUUAAAAGGAGGAGUUAUUGACCUUUUAUAUCAGAAUUAUUCAGAAAAAAAGAAUAAAAAUCAGUCAAUGCUUUAAUUUUUCAUUAAUUCUUCAAACAGUUUAUAAGAUUUUGUUGAAGUGAUCAUCAAUACAAUGUCUUUGUUUGUGUACUAGAGAUCAUCUUCAUCAUCACUGUUGAAAUCCAUAUUCAGUGGAUAAGUUCCUGAAACAAUAUGCCUUUAAUACCAUUUUCAAUGGCAUACAUAUGAUUUUUUUUAACAGGAAAGCCUAAAAAAAAUCAGUGAUAUUGUUUACUUUUUUAAAAACUACCUCAACCUGUUUUUUUUUUUUAGAGGGUAAAAUGAUUUUUCUAUCCCAAUUUGGAAGUUUUUUAACACAUGUACAUUUUUAUUGCUGACCUUUGUUGUCUUUUCUGCAGUUUUUCAUUCACAUAUAGUUUGGUUGUCAGACAUUUUCAAACUGGAAGGUACUUUUCAGGGAGUGGAAAGAAACGAAAACAAUGAUGGUACUUUUUCCAUUGAAAACCCAAUGUGUUACAAACACUAAGAUGAUUCUGAUGAGAAACCUGGAUCUCAAAAGUGCUUUCAUAAUAUCAAAACAUAAUGAAAAUUUACGUACAUUACGACCAAUGCCAUCACUGUUUUUGAAGUAUAUAAAAUUUAUUAGGAGAACUUUUUAUUUCAUUUUUUAGUAUGGAAAUAGCCAGAUCAUACACAAAAUUUCAGGUGGUCCACAGGACUACUGAUUAACCAUGUUUUGGUAGUCCUCCUAAAUUUGGUAGUCCUCCUACCCGACUACCGUUAGUGUCGAACCCGGACUUAUAUAAGAUACGCAAAGUAAAACGAAAAAGUAUCUAUAGUCGCCGUCGUAAAAUUGUUUUUCAUUUAGCCAUAUCCAACUCUAGCAGUCAUCACGUGACUUUGACGACGUCAAACAUCACCCGUAUUAAGCCCAAGUAAAAUGUAUAGAAAUGCACAGGGACUUUCAAGAAUCGGUAAAAUAAAGUACUUUAAGUUCAUGAUACAAAAAGUGUGGGAAUAUAUAGUAAUUCCUCAUAUAUUAAGGAAUAUAUUUAUGCCUUUUAAAAAAGUUUAAAUUUUGGUCUUCUCCCUUCCAACUGCUUUUGAAAAUUUUUCUUGUUGCCUCGAUAAGUUCACACUGUUAAUCAUCCAACUCCGAUAAAUAUUGGAUUUUCUGUCCUGUUAAACCUAAAUUUGUGAUUUAAACAAAACAGAUGAAAUAAUUGUGGGAAUAUGUGCUUAUUACUAUAUUCAUAAAUAUUUCAAAUAUCGUAUAUGCAAUAGUUUAAUUUUUUAUUAUGUCCCUUCCAAAUUGAUUUGAAAAUCAGUCAUUUUUAGAAAAUCUGGUAUUAUUUUUCAAGAUGGCGACCUCAUUAACAGCGUGGGACGACUUGGUAAAAAUAUAUUUUGUAAGAUUGUUACAUUGCAGUCUGCACGGUUAGCCACUAGUCUGAUGCCCCAGACUAGUAAAAUCUCAUUCGGACUAGUAAGUUUUUGCAAAAUUUUGUUUGGACCAAUAAGAAAAAUGUCAGAAUAUUGGUCUUCGGACUAGUAGUUGAAAAAGUUUUUGGUGCAGACUGCAUUGAAAAUCAAAUAACCGUUGGAUGCUCGCGUUUUCAGUCAUUGUCUUACCUUAAAGCAGCAUAGAAUCAAACAUUGGUUCCUUUUGAUAAAGCUUUUACGUGCUGUUUAUUUUAUAAAAUUUUGAAAAAAAAUGGCGACCAAAUAAUUUUCAAACGUGGACGAUGUUCGACACUUAUUUUGUACAUGCACAUAAUUCACUUUAAUUUCACUGUUUAUAUUACAAUUUAAUAUGACAUGUUAUAGUCACUAUAAUGAUAGAUAUAGCCAAGGGCAUAGCUAGAUUAAGGAGAUACUAAUCAAGUUAUAACACCAAUGUCAUCAAAGAUGGAAAAUAAACAUGGCACCUAAUCAAGAUGUAAGUUUUGACAAUACCUAAAUAAUAAAUAAUAAUACCAAUGUAGAUUAAUUAGUGUUCUCGAUGCAAUUUAUUACGAUAUUAUUUUAUAUUUAUAAAAAAAGACCUCGAAUGGAUAUUAAAUAACCAAGGUGAAAUAAAUAUAUUGUUUAAUUUUCUUUAAAUCAUUCAUCAGGUAACCAGUAAAUUUUACAUAAUCCUAAUUAAACCAGUAACAUGCAGAGUUAUCGAACGUAAUUAUGACUGGAAUAGUUGCAUAUGGGAAGUAAAGUCCUGUCCAAAUAUCCACUACUGCCCUACCUUUUAUUGGGUUUGCACUGUAUAAUAUUUUUCAAGAUUAUUUACAUUGUAUAACCGCCAUGCGGCCAUAUCUUGGUUUCUAUGAGGGUCCUUUAUUCCAUAACAUUCGUUACUCUCCGGUAAUAUCAUUGUCAUUGAUGAUACAAUUUUCCGCGCUUUUUACGUAAAGAUGACAAAAAGCUCAGAGAGACACAAGAAAAUGGAGAGCAUGUGCCGAUGUGGAACUCCACGGCAACACUUCCGGUAUUAACAAUGUCGGAUUCCACCAUACAAAAUAAUCUUGGAUAAUGUGAAGGUCAGGAUUAUACAGUGCAAACACAAUAAAAGGUAGAACAGUAGUUGAUUUUUGGAAUGAUACUUGAUUCUAUAGGAGAUUACAAAUACGGCUAGAUUUCUAGUAUUUCUAUUUUUAUGAUAAUAAUAUUAAUAUUGUCCAUUUUUUUUUAUUAAAAUAGAAUUAAAAAAAACAAUUCCAAAAAACUUGAAAAAUUAUAUGCAUGUACAUUUUGUAUUUUCUACCUGGUACAAAAUGUAUGAGAGACUACAAUAGACAUAUUCUUAUGCAAAUAUUUUGUAUCAAUGGUUCUGAUUGGAUGACAGUAAGCGUAAAAUUCUCUAUCUCUUUGUCCGUAACUAAGGAAGCAGACAUUUUUAAUUGCGGAAUGUACAAACAUGUAAUUUCUAUAAUAAUAAGCAAAAGAACUUACAUGUUGCACCUAAAAUCUUCCAUUUUAUCAAAUUGUAUUACAUUCUUAAGUGUCAAAGAAGCCAAAAAACACCGGAAUUUAUGUUUGAUGAUGGAAGCAUACUUAUGACGUCACCUAGUUUAAGAACCAAAGAAGAUAACAUCUUUUCGGUGAUGAUUGUUUAAUGUGAUUAUUUUUAUUUAUACAAUAGGCUAUUUGCCAAUUCCGGUCAAUUGACCCUGUUAUUAGAGAUCCCUUUUUAUACGACCGCAAAAAUUAAAAAUUUUUUGGUCGUACAUUGGUAUGAUGUUGGCGUCGUCGUCGUCGUCCUCGUCCUCGUUGUCGUCGUCGUCCAAAUACUUUUCGUUAUCGCACUCUAACUUUAGUAAAAGUGAAUAUAAAUCUAUGAAAUUUUAACACAAGGUUUAUGACCACAAAAGAAAGGUUGGGAUUGAUUUUUGGAGUUUUGGUCCCAACAUUUUAGGUAUUAGGGGCCAAAAAGGACCCAAAUAAGCAUUUUCUUGGUUUUCGCACUAUAACUUUGGUUUAAGUAAAUAGAAAUCUAUGAAGUUUUGACACAAGGUUUAUGACCACAAAAGGAAGGUUGGGAUUGAUUUUGGGAGUUUUGGUUCCAACAGUUUAGGAAUUAGGGGCCAAAAAAGGGCCCAAAUAAGCAUUAUUCUUGGUUUUCGCACAAUAACUUUAGUAUAAGUAAGUAGAAAUCAAUGAAAUUUAAACACAAGGUUUAUGACCACAAAAAGAAGGUUGGGAUUGAUUUUGGGAGUUUUGGUCCCAACAGUUUAGGAAUAAGGGCCCAAAGGGUCCAAAAUUGAACUUUGUUUGAUUUCAUCAAAAAUUGAAUAAUUGGGGUUCUUUGAUAUGCCGAAUCUAACUGUGUAUGUAGAUUCUUAAUUUUUGGUCCCGUUUUCAAAUUGGUCUACAUUAAGGUCCAAAGGGUCCAAAAUUAAACUUAGUUUGAUUAUAACAAAAAUUGAAUACUUGGGGUUCUUUGAUAUGCUGAAUCUAAAAAUGUACUUAGAUUUUUGUCGAGCCUGCAACUUUUGUUGCAGAAAGCUCGACAUAGGGAUAGUGAUCCGGCGGCGGCAACGGCGGCGGCUACGGCGGCGGCUACGGCGGCGGCGUUAGCUAACUUCUUAAAAGGUUUAUAAUUUAGAAGGUGAAAGACCUGGAUGCUUCAUACUUUGUAUAUAGAUGCCUCAUGAUACGAAGUUUCCGUCAGUCACAUGUCCAAUGUCCUUGACCUCAUUUUCAUGGUUCAGUGACCACUUGAAAAAAAAGUUCAGAAUUUUUGUAAUGUUGAAUUCUCUCUUAUUAUAAGUAAUAGGGUAACUAUAUUUGGUAUGUGCGUACCUUGCAAGGUCCUCAUGCCCGUCAGACAGUUUUCACUUGACCUCGACCUCAUUUCAUGGAUCAGUGAACAAGGUUAAGUUUUGGUGGUCAAGUCCAUAUCUCAGAUACUAUAAGCAAUAAGGCUAGUAUAUUUGGUGUAUGGAAGGACUGGAAGGUGUACAUGUCCAACUGGCAGGUGUCAUCUGACCUUGACCUCAUUUUCAUGGUUCAGUGGUUAUAGUUAAGUUUUUGUGUUUUGGUCGGUUUUUCUCAUACUUUAUGCAAUAGGUCUACUAUAUUUGUUGUAUGGAAUGAUUGUAAGGUGUACAUGUCUAGCGGGCAGUUGUCAUCUGAACUUGACCCCAUUUUCAUGGUUCAGUGGUCAAAGUUAAGUUUUAAGUUUUGGUCUUUUUAUCUAAUAUUAUAUGCCAAAGGUCAACUAUAUUUGGUGUAUGGAAAUAUAUUAUGAUCUAUAUGUCAGUCCCGCAGGUUUAUUUGACCAUGACCUCAAUUGCACGGUUCAUUGCACAAUGUUAAGUUUUUGUGUUUUGGUCUAUUUUUCUUACUAAAACUAUAAGUAAUAGGUCAACUAUAUUUGUUGUAUGGAAGCUUUGUUAGCUGUACAUGUCUGCCUGGCAUGGUUUAUCUGACCUUGACCUUAUUUUCAUGGUUCAUUGGUCUUUGUUUAGCUAUCUUGGUUAAUGUUAAGUUUAUGUGACAGUUGUAAUAAAGCUUUAUACUUAGGACUAUCAACAUAAUUUCAAUGAUUAGUAAAGAAGGCGAGACAUUUCAGUGUGUGCACUCUUGUUUAUUAUUGGCCCAGUUUUCAAGUUGGUCUAAAUCGGGGUCCAAAAUUAAACUUUGUUUGAUUUCAUCAAAAAUUGAAUAAUUGGGGUUCUUUGAUAUGCCAAAUCUAACUGUGUAUGUAGAUUCUGAAUUUUUGGUCCUGUUUUCAAAUUGGUCUACAUUAAAGUCCAAAGGGUCCAAAAUUAACCUAAGUUUGAUUUAAAAAAAAAUUGAAUUCUUGAGCUUUUUUGAUAUGCUGAAUCCAAACAUGUACUUAGAUUUUUGAUUAUGGGCCCAGUUUUCAAGUUGGUUCAAAUCAGGAUCCAAAAUUAUUAUAUUAAGUAUUGUGCAAUAGCAAGAAAUUUUCAAUUGCACAGUAUUCAGCAAUAGCAAGAAAUCUUCAAUUGCACAGUAUUGUACAAUAGCAAGAAAUUUUCAAUUGCACAGUAUUGCGCAAUAGCAAGAAAUCUUCAAUUGCAAAGUAUUGUGCAAUAAGCAAAUAUUUUCAAUUGCACAGUAUUGCGCAAUAGCAAGAAAUUCUAAUUGCACAAUAAUUGGAGUUAUCUUUCUUUGUCCAGAAUAGUAGUUGAAUCAACUUAAAUCAUUGUUUUAUACAAUAUACAAUGUAAAUGAUGUAUAUUCACUUUUACUAUCAACUGAUAAAUUAAAACAAUGUUUACCAUUCAGUGAUAACAAGCGCUUUAUUUUACAUUUUAAUAUUUUAUGAUGUAUUUAAAUGAGUAGUUAUUGUUGCAAACUCCAUUAGAAAUUUUAAUUGAGAUCAGUUUUGGAAAAAGGGAAAGGGGGGGGGGGGUUAAAUUUUUCUCAUUUCAGAUUUCAUAAAUAAAAUAAAAUUUCUUCAAACAUUUUUUUGAGAGGAUUAAUAUUCAACAGCAUAGUGAAUUGCUCAAAGGCAAAAAAAAUAUUUUAAGUCUCAUUAGACCACAUUCAUUCUGUUUCAGAAACCUAUGCUGUGUCAACUAUUUAAUCACAAUCCAAAUUUAGAGCUGAAUCCAGCUUGAAUGUUGUGUCCAUACUUGCCCCAACCGUUCAGGUUUCAACCUCUGCGGUCGUAUAAAGCUGCGCCCUGCAGAGCAUCUGGUUCUCCCUUAUGAUAUUAAUUUUUGUUUACAAUGGGGAGCUAGCAGAAAGAGCAACUUUCCCUUUGCCUAAUGUGAGUAAUCUUUAAGGUUUUCAAAUCUUGUAAUUACAUUUAUUUGUUGUUAAACAAAAUACUUUUGUUUUCAGAAAUUGUUUUUCGUGAAAAAUUAGUUGAACCGCCGAUACACCACUUUCAAUUUGCUAUGCUUUACAUUGGCAAAAGUCAAUUUUGUGCGGUAUGGAAGCAGUCUACUAUUUACAAAGGGAAGUAAUUCGUUUAAAAAGUGUGUAAUAACAGAAUAAAAUCGGUAAUUGGCAAAUGGACUAUUCUCUGUUUGUUUAAAAUUUGCAUUCUAAAAAAUAAUGUGUACUGAUCAAAGGGUGCAUAUGUGUGGGAGAAAUAUAGAUUCCACAAUUGCAACAAGUGUAUUAUGAUAUUUCUCCACUCGAGACAGUUAAAUUUUAAUAUUUAAAGCGCAAGGCUUGCUGAGCUCUUUAAAUAAUUUAAAUUUAACUGUUGAGAGUAGAGAAAUAUUGUAAUACACAAGUUACAGUGGUGGAAACUGUUUCUCUUAUGAUUUUUAUCCUUCCUUUUCAAAAUCUAAAUCUAAUUUUGAUUUCUAAUUCUUUCAUUGUUUACCUGACUUUUCAAGAUGAAAUUGAACUAUUAACAGCUAGUUUACAUUCAUUAGACAACAUCAUCAAAGAGGAAUCCUAUUUGUAUUUUAAUGUUUCCUUCUCAUCAGUUGCUUUUAGAAACUAUAUUUGAUCAAGAUUUUAAACCCAAGUUCAAUGGGCUGUUUCAAUACCUCUGUUUAUGUAGUUCAUACAUGGUUCUCGUUUCUUGUUUUUAUAUAGAUUAGACAGUUGGUUUUCCCGUUUGAAUGGUUUUACAUUAGUAAUUUUUGGGGCCCUUUAUAGCUAACUGUUCGGUGUGAGCCAAUGCUUCGUGUUGAAGGCCUUACCUUGACCUAUAAGGGUUUACUUUUAUAAAUUGUUAUUUGGAUGGAGAGUUGUCUCAUUGUCACCCAUAUCAAUCUUUCUAUAUCUACUCAUGCAUUUUGGGAAAUAUAUUCAAAAGCGCACACCAAAACAUUAUGAGGGGUUUGAAACGUCCCAAAUAAUGGAAAUUCAAAACAUUAUGAGGGGUUUGAAACGUCCCAAAUAAUGGACAUUCGACCAUUGAUGUGACAUCUAUUUUUUUUUUGGUGUACCAUCAAUUAGAUUACCAAUAUUCCUUUUGAUUCUGAAAAGGCCAAUUGAACAUCUCCCUUGUUUCAUAUAUAUUGGUUUAUUUAAUGAUUAUAAUAGUACAUGCAUUUGGUUUUAUUUUGUUUUAGCAUAGAGGUUUAAAAAAUUUCAACUUAUUAUUUAGAUUCAAAACUUAUUUUUUUCUUUAGAAAGAGAUGGACAUAUUUGUUCAGUCAUUUUCAUAUUUUAUAGGAUAAAAACCUUUUAUAAAGUAUUAGCAAUUUAUGAUCAAUGUAAUGUUUCUGUAAAAUUUUCUUUUGAACAUAUAAAUAAUUUCUUUUUUUAUGUAUACAUAUAUAUAUGUACAUCUUUUUCUUGAAUUCGGCUGUAUUAUUGGUUUUGUUUAUAUGUUUUUGAUAAUUCAAUUUCUAUUUUAAGACAAUUCAUUCACAACAUAUCUAUUUGAGGAAAUGUAUAAUUGUAUCCCAAACAAUAAUUUAUGAUGUUUGUUAGAAAAAUGUGCAAGCCCACUCACCUUUAAUAUGAUGAACAUCAUGCCCUGAUGUAACUGAACGUAACUAGCGAAUGUAACUAGCGUCAUUACUCAUUAGUGAUAUUUCUUACUCCUUUGUUUGAUGCAUUAGCUUUUGGAACAAAGAGUUCAUGAUUUGUAUAAAAUAUUGAAAAUAAAUCAAAGAUUGACAGUUACAUAAUAUAAAUAAUAUAUACAGUCUAAUAACAUGAAUAAGUUAUUAUAUAUAUCUGUACUUAGAAAUGUAUAUGAAAAGUUGUUUUCUAUUUUUGUAUAUGAAAUGUUGUUUUCUAUUUUUGGUAUCAUUUGGUUUUUUUUAGCUGAAACUGGCCCAAAUUGAGCUAUUGUCAUCACUUGUGGGGAGAUAUUUAGUUUUCAUAGAUAUUUUGUAUUGUUAACCUACACUACUGUUAACCAGAUUACACAACUUGGAAAUUUUACUAGUAUAAAUACUCAUGGAUAGCGGCCAAAUUGAAAUUCUGAGGAAGACCCAAAGUGAAGGGAGGGGUAGUACAUUUGGUUUUGUACAAGAUUUAACACCUAAAAGCUUCAGGCAUAUAAAUGUUGAAAAUAUGCCAAACUGCCCUAUUUUUUUUACCUUUAAAAAAAAAUUGAAGUGCAAAAAUUUUAACUUGAUUCUGGGAUACAUGUUUAAUUAUUAUGAAACUUCACAGUUAAAGUGGCACAUUUUAAGCUUUAAAAUGAGUUCCUAUGGGAAACCACAUUGUCUUUAUAGACAGUGCAAGCAUAAGGUCCUUUUAAAAUCAAGAUUUUUUGUGAAAUUUGAACUAAACUUGUGGUUAAAAACUUAAUUUUGUUAAAGGGGCACUAGCUGCCAAAUUCAUGUUCACCGAUUUGACUCAAAUUCUCAUAUAUUAUUUAUAACAAUGUAAAACAUUUUUCCAAACUAUCAAAAAUAUCAAAUAAACAUUUUACAGGACAUGGUCUCAAUAAGAUGUUACUUUGUUUCAUGUGAAAUUUAGCCAAGACGCCAUCUUAUUAACUAUCGAGUUGACCUUCUAUGACCAUAUAAGCAAUGUAAACAUAAACACAGAUAUAAAUAGAUUAAGCAAUUCGUGCAAUUGAAUUUUUAUAGGUCUGUAAAAUUUUGUAUGAUAGAUUAAAAAUUUAUGUUUAUCGUCGUUAUCACCUUUAUAAGAUUGAUUUUGUGUGGAUUGAAUGAGUUAAUUAUACAAUCAAAUUAUUUACCUUUGUUUCACUUUCAAUGUUGACAUUCUUUUCCUUUAAAUACCGGUACACGGACAAUGUAUGCGUUAUUCUAUCACUUUCUACAGGGUUAAAUUGGAGUUCACAUGAAUAUGGAUUUAAUGAGGUCGAGUAAUUCACUUGCAAGUGAAUAACUCAUUAUCAAUGUUUAUUAGCUUAAUUUGACAAAAUUGAACUUGGCGUUCGUUGUCUGUCAUUGUCGUAAACUCUUUUAAAAAUCUUUUCCUAUAAAACUACUGGGCCAAAUACCUUCAAACUUUAACUAAAUGUUCCUUAAGGUAUCUAGUUUAUAAAUUGUAUCAGAAUUUUUGAUCCAUCGACAAACAUGGCUGCCAUGGCUUAAAAUAGAAUAUAGGGGUCAAAUGCAGUUUUUGACUUGUAUCUAAAAAAACAAUUUUAGCUUUUAGAGCAAAUCUGACAUGAGGUAAAAUUGUUCAUUUGGUCAAGAUCUAUCAGCCCUGAAAUUUUCAGACGAAUCGAACAACUUAUUGUUGGGUUGCUGCCACUAAAUUGGUAGUUUUAAGGAAAUUUUGCAGUUUUUUGUUAUUAUCUUGAAUAUUAUUAUAGAUAUAUAUAAACUGUAAACAGCAAUAGUGUUCAGCAAAGUAAGAUUUACAAAUAAGUUAGUAUGACCAAAAUUGUCAAUUGACCCUUUUAGGAGUUAUUGCCCUUUAAAGACAAUUUUACACAAUUUGUUCAUCCAGUUUGCUAACAUUUAAAAAUCUUCUCUGAAAUGCAGGUGAGCAAUUCAGGCUCUUGAGAGCCUCUUGUUUUAUAUCUAGAAAAAGGGUUAAAUCUAGGGUCAUAGGUUAAGCCAUGUAACUAAGUCCUCAAUGUAGCUACAGUCCUCUAUAAAACUAUGUAAUUGUAACCAUAGGUACAUUAAUGCUUCAGACCUGGGUCAAUGUCAGAAUAUUGCUACCAGCAUGAGUUAUGUCAAGCUAUAAAAUAAAACAAAAACCUGCUGUAAUAUUUUUUAUUCAGCCUCAAUUUAUUUUAAACAUUUAAAGUAUAAGCACAAUGUUUAAACAUUUAUAUCAAAUUAAAUUUUGGCCUCUAGUGAGAUCUCCAAUGAUUUCAGUAAGUUUAAUGAAAAGGUCAAAGUUAAGAAUUGUCAGUCAGUGAUGGUUAGAAAUCUCACAUGACUUGUUUUCAAUAUUUACCUUCUUUCAUUAUUCAUAAAAGCAUCAUUGUAUUUAUAAUGUCAGAACUGUAAAAUCAAACCUAAAACUCAGCCAACAAAACCAUAUCUACCGCAAACCAUUUAUAGAAAAACACAAAUUGGUAUCAGCCCACACAUUUGUAUCUCUUGGGGCUUAAGCUGGUAUUAAAUUCUUAAAACAAACUGGGACAUGAUUCAGUUAUAGCAAUAGAUUAUCUAAACUAUUAUGUGAUUGUCAUUUGCAGCAGUUGUGGUAUAUUUUUUGAAAUAAUGGAUUCGUGAGCUGCUUUUUAGUAAUAUUCUCUCUUUAGUAUGUCAGACUUCUGACUUAUAAUGGUUCUAAAAGUAGCAGGAUAAGCCCUGUAUUCAAAGUUAUAUUCUUAUCUCAAAUUGUCUUGUCUAAAGAUGGCAACUUUUUCUACUAGUAAAGGAACUAGGCAUUUGAUAGUUUACACCAAUCUUGUUUUUAUGAAUGAGUUACACCGGUUGACCUGAGGUUAUCAAACAAUCAAUUCUUACUGUGAGUGUACAGAUUCAAAAGUCAUUUCUUACCUGCAGAGCACCCUGAUAGCAAAAAAAAAAAAAUAUUCAGAGAUUUUCAUAAUGACAGAAUUGUAUGAAGACAACAAUACUGGUUAUAUUAGUUGUGGUAGCUUUCCAUUGAAAAACUAUACACCUAUUUAUUCAUGGUUAAAAAAAAAUAUGUAAAGUAACAAUUUUUUUUUAAAUUAUUUUUUCACAUAUACACAUUUUCAUACCAACAUCUUGUUAAUGUCAUAUUAUGUUUACGAUAAUCAUUUCUUAUUAAUGUAAUAAGUAAUUUCACCAAGCUGUUGAUGUUGAAAUUUAAAAAUUUCUAUAAGAAAAUCUGUUAGCUAUUUUCAGCCAGUUAAUGUAGUAUUCUUAUAGAAAAAUAAUAUUGACAUACAAUUACAUUAUAUUAGUAUUUUAUUUAUAUUUAAGCAAAGAAGUAUGUUACACUAUUGUCACUUAUUAAAACCUAGAAACUGAUUAAAUUCUCCCAAUACACUCAGAAUUAACGAAUCAUGGAUAUUGAUUGGUGACCAGUAAUUCUAGUUUUGACAUUUUCUCCUGAUUCCAUUGGGUCUAACCUUACAACAUAUUUAACUUUUUGGGUUCUUGAAUCAAUAAUCCGUUCGUUUUGAAGAAAUUGUUUUUAUAUCGAUGAUGUGUGACGUGAGUCUUGAUAUUUUCUUCAACAAUUUAUUAGGUUUGAUGUUGUAAUGAGAAUUGUAAUUGGGUGGUUGGUGAAACAAAAAAUAUUACUUUAGGGAAACCCACAUGAUAAUUUUCUACAGAUUAUUGGCAACGUGACGUCAAAUAUUUCGUCAAAUUUUUUCAGACUGUGCUCCUUCAUCUGUAUGUGACGCAUGUAAAAGCGAUUGUAGAGUUAGAAAUGUAAUUGAAUUCUAGUUCAUUUAUUUUUUAUUGUGGAUCAAAUAUGUUAUCAUGUCUUUGGAAGGUGAUGAAAUGUCAAUCUCUAAAAUACAGUCCUAAUCACAUUUUUGUCUGUGAUCUUUAACAUUUUGGCUUCCAUUGAUGAACUUGUAUUUCCGUAUUCAAACAAACUGCUUGUUACCUUUAUAUAGAAAAUGUCCAUUACUUCUUGUAUUAAACAUGUUAAUUGUACAAAUGUUUAACAAAUAAUUUUAAAUGUGAAUCUUUCUUUUUAGAUUGAAAAAUUACUUUCACUAGCCUUUCUCAUAUCCUAGCUCAUAUACAUAUAAAAAGAAUAAGAAUAUUUAUUAUUCCAAUCAAGUGCACUUGGUGGACAGCAUGACAUGUUACAAAUAAAACAAUCCAUUGUAAUUUGUAACAGAAAAACAUUUUUUUAACAUGGACAUGAAAUAUUAAAAGUUUAUAUAGAUGUUAUACCAUUUCAUCUUAUUAAUAUACAGUUUUCAUAUUUUUGUCUUAAUUUUUGAUAAAUAAUAAAGCAAAGUGUUGAUGCACCAAAAAUGUGCAUGAAAGUUCUCAAUUUAGCAAGAUUUCAUUCCCUUUUGAAACAUACCCUGCAUUUUAAGUGCAUACUUGUAUGAGUAUGUGUUCAAACCUACUCGAAGCUUUUCCUGUUUUCUAGUAGACAUCCAUCAGUCAAAUACUUACUUCCAAGCUGCGAUAUAAAAAAGUUCAGAACAGUUACAUACAACAGAUAAUCAUACAACACAAGAUUUAACAUGUAGAUUUGAAUUUUCCCUCUGUAUAAAUUAAAAAGUUAGAGAAAAAAUAGUCUGUAGAUGAGAGAUUUGUAUACAUCAAAGUAUAAUCAAUUUAAUUGCACUUAAAAGUAAGAUAAUAAAUAUAAGGACUCUGCAAGUCAUACGGUAAAGUGCAUGUACUUUUAUACUCAUUUAAUGGUUGAUAUGCAUUUUAUAGUAUUGCAUCAUACAAAUAAAGUUCUUUUUUCUUGUAAAAGUCAUUAACAAUAGCCUAAGAAAUAGUCUUUCUCAAUAGCUUAAGUGCAACAAAUCCAUUUGACAUAGGAAAUAUUAUGUCAAAACAAUUUUCCUUUACCGGAUGGUUUGUAAGUUGUAAUAGGACUGGAGCAUUGAUCAGCUACAAUUGUGUGGGUGUAUAAAAUAAACUAUAUUAUUAACAUAUAUCCAUAAGGCAAAGUCUGUAUCACUUUAUAUAUAUAAAUUCAGUUCAUCUUUUACAGAUUAUUUGUUUAAGGUUUGGAUCACUCAGAUAUUACAAUGAAAGGAGCAGGUACAAUAUGCAGAAUUCUGAAGUUACUACAUUUAUGAUGGAAUGACUUUUCAAUGAAAUGCAUGUAACAGGGGAACAGAUACUGGUAUAGUGAAUUAUUACAAUGGGCAUUAUUUGUAAGUAUUUAUGUUUUUUCAAGAUGAAAUUUAAACAAAUGUUGCUAGACUUAUGCAUGAAACAUACUUAAAACAAAUUCUGUCUUAAGUUCUUCUGUUUUAAAAUGUGACUAUCGACGGUACUUCAGUAUGUGGCAAAGGUAACUUAAUAGUAUGUACAUUGUGUGUGUGUGUUAUUCCUGAUCUUUACAUUGAUACUUAUUAUACAGGCUCAUAUUCCCUGUAAGGGUGUUAUAUCACCAGAGAUGUCAGUAGUUAGGGAUAUCAAAUUGAGAAUGGAAAUAGGGAAUGUGUCAAAGAGAAAACAACCCGUCCAAAGAGUACUAAUGGGUAUUCAACACAGUGAGAAAAUCCCAUACCUAACCUGGAGGCAGGCAUCAGUUGGCACUGACUAGAAAUAUAUUAAGACUAAAUCCUGUGUGAAGUCCGAAUGAGAAUUGUAUUAUUCUGGAAUGUCCUGAUUUCAACAUUGAUAACUUGAUAUUAACCAUUUUGAUCUUUGUUUUAUGGUUGUUUACAUGGUAUAUGAGCUUAUAUCCCCUGUUGAGGUAACCAAUCAAAUUUUAUGAUAAGGUGAAAUGCUUCACUCUGUCAACAUAUAUUUGUUCCACCUAUCAGAAGUUCCCCUUGAAACUUUGUAUUUAACAAUGCCAUAACAUCUGUUCCUGAUAGAUGCUUUAUGGGUGUGAUGGGCUAUAAGUUUAGUACCAUUGAACCAGUCCUUUUCAGAUUACAGUAUGUUGUUACUCAUACAAAAUUGAGGUCCAAUACCAUAUUGAAGAUUUUCAGUUAUGUGAUUCAGAUGUUAUGGUCCGUGAUUAAACAUAGCAUUUUAUUAUUUUUCUGUAUGAUAGCUAGACUGAGAGAUGUUAAACCAAUCUUUUUCAAAUUUGUUUAUACACUAUUUUAUUUCUCAUGAUAGAAUGGACAUUAAGUUUUAAAUUGAUUAUUUUGGUGUUUUGCUGUUCAGGAGGUAUAUAUGGUCAUAAGUGAUUGAUUGAAAAACAUAGUUUUAUACUGCUGUAUCAACCUUUUUUAAACAAUGACAUUUUGUUCUAGAUGACAAUAUUGAUGAAGAAUCUGAUUUUGACAUUUUUUAUGUGUUGUUCUGGACCUAUGGUCAAUGAUUGAUUAAAAAAUUGUGCCUGAGGUAGUUUAAUUUUUAAUUUACUGAUGACAAAAUGGAGAUGGAUUUAGCCAAUUUACACUUCAGGAGUUAUGGCCCUUGAUUACUGUAGCAAAUGAUUCUAAUAAAUGUAAGGAAUUUGUGGUUUGGUGUCAUUGCAUAUGUCAGUAACAUUAUUUUUAAGCUGAUGUUGAACCUUUCUUCACUUUGCCACCUUAUUGUUUACGUUUACAUUUAAAAUUAUUUUUCCUGAGUCCACAUCGAAUAAACUUAUUGUAUUUAAAUUUUCUCAGUUCUAUUUUAUUAUUAAUACAGUAUUACCCUGAAUUUCCCUUUGUUGUGUUUAAAGAUGUUGACACCUGCCUUGAGCUAUUGAUCUUCAGAUUAAAUGAUGUUUUAUUUGAAUGUCAUUUCUUCUUUGGCUUGGUCAUUAGUUUUCAAUUCAAUUUCUACAUCGUGAAAAAUUACAAACAACAGAUUUAAUGCAGCAUAAAAAUUUAUGAAAUUUAGAUAAAAUUUCUCCCUUUAUUGCCCAAUUACUAGAUGUAUGUUCAGGAAUAAAUUUUUGAAAGGAACACCUACACACAUAUGUCAAUUGAUGAAAAUAAAGUGACCUUUGGGAAUCUGGUAGACCAAAUAUUCUCAGGUGAGAUGUUCUGUGGUUGAUUUUAUAGCUUUUACAUAAAACAAGUGUUUAAUGAUUAUGUCAGGCUAGUUAUAUAAAUAGUGUAUCAAUUUAUUCUUAAUGGUUGUAAAUAUGGUAAAAUAUAAAAACCUUCAAACAUGGCUUUGUUGCUUUCUAAAAAUCUUAUCAUCAAAUCAUAGAUGUGGUAUAAUUGCCAAUGAGACAACUCUCCACAAGAGCCUAAUGACAAAGAAAUUAACAGCUAUAGGUCACUGUACCGCCUUUAACAAUGAGCGAACCCAAACCGCAUAGUCAGCUAUAAAAGGCCCUGAAAUGACAAAUGUAAAACAAUUCAAACAAGAAAACUAACGGGCUUAUUUAUUAUGAUAAAUUCCUAUUCAUUUGUAUUAGUGAUAAAAUUUACUAUUGACCAAUUUUUCAAAAGACUUAUUUUUGUGCGUUUGUUGUAGAUUUGAUGUUUUUAUAUGGUAUACCACAGCCUUUCAAUGGGUCAAAACUUUGUUCAAUAACUAAAUUUGCUUUUACCAAUUCCCAUGGAAUUAACUGAUGUAAGAAAGCUUAUACUUUUAUUAAAAAAAUAUAUUCAUGCACUUGUUCUAGUUUAGGUAUAUGAUCUAUUUAAUACAAACUUUAUACUGUUUCUUGGGAUUGGUGAAUGAAGACUUGCAUUAGAUUUUGAAAUUUAUUUUGGUUGGUGUUCCAGAGUUAUUGGACUUUUCACAGUUAUAUUAUACGAACUUUUUUUAUGACUCAAUAUAUCACCAUUCAUGUUUUCAACAGAAAGAUUUACAUGCCUUAUAAAUAAUUCAUUUGUUCCUAUGUCAUUUUAGACCAAAAUGAUAAAAUGAAUUGGAUUUUGAAAUACAAAUACGAAUACGAAAGUUUUAUUUUGAUUUGGUUAAGAUAUAACAAAACAAACAUAAGUUUAUAUACCAAAUAUAAAAUAACAUAAACACAACAUUAAAACAUGCAACAUGCAGACAAGAUGUAUAACAGCACAGGCAUAUCGAAAUACAUGCAAAGCACUUAGGCAAACCUGGAGUACACCCCGGGAUGAUACCCAGAUAAACUCUUCAUUUAAACCCCUGAAGUUAUGUUUUCACUAUUUAAUUUAAACAUAUUUAUUUAUAAUGGAUUGGGAAACAAGUUUUGCAACUUAUGUUAAUCCCUUUCCAUUUUGUGGGUGCGAAUGCUGCCUUGUAGCAGCAUUAGCCUACUCUUUUUCGAAAUCUACAAGGGUGUCUUUUACAUGCUCUCUUAACAGGGUCAGCCAUUUAUCAUAUCCUUCCAACAGACUAUCAAUGUUUCCUCCAGACCAUACUCGCAAAUGGUGUCAAGGGAGAGCCCAAAAUCCAGUCCCUGAAAUUUUCAUCCCGAACCGGGAAUGGAACCAGGAACCUUUGUGUUAGUAGUCCGAUGCACUAACCACUACACCACGGCUCUCUACUUAAGUACAUAUCUAAACAAGCCAAAGCUGAAGCUCAACUCAAAUUUAUGCACAACUAAAAUUAAGCACAAAUAAAAAAUGAAUUCAUCCUUGUUCUAAAGGAGUUAGAAGUAUGCUACCCCUAUGAUUCCUAUUUUUCUACAAUCCUUUCUGCUUCUUUCAAUACUGUGUUCUAUGUUUUUUGGCAACUAUUGACUGCAUUGAUAUGAUAUAUGGAUUAAAAAGUUGUAUCGAUGUUCUUAGAUAUUUUUAAUGUAUCUUUGAAUCAUGUCUGCCACUGACUUUGUUUCUGUCUUAGGUUUAAGGCGAAGUGUACGUAAUUAAACUACACAAUGGAUUUUUUAAAAAUUUUACAUGUAGAUUCUGCUUGUAAAAAUAAAUCGGAAAAUAAAAUAAAAAAAGGGGGUAACCGUUUUCGUUUUUGAGAUACGAGCUGGUGAAGUUAACAGCAUCAUACACCAAAAUUACAAAGGAUAUAACAUUUUAACGUUGAGUCGUUUGUGUUUUCUCUUAUUUUUGAGAUAUUGAGAUAAGACGUGGCACGGUACUUGUCUAUCCCAAAUUCAUGUAUUUUGGUUUUCAUGUUACAUUUGUUAUUCUCGUGGUGUUUUGUCUGAUGAUUGGUCUGUUUCUGUGUGUGUUGCGUUUCGGUGUUGUGUCGUUGUUCUCCUCUUAUAUUUAAUGCGUUUCGCUCGGUUUUGGUUUGUUACCCCGAUUUUGUUUUUUGUCCAAUUUAUGGUUUGAAAGGUAUACUUAGUUGCCUUUAUUUAUAUAUAGGGAAAAUCGUGAAAUUCGGCAGGAAUUGUUACAUUUUCAAGAUUUUCUAUUAUAUUAGACAAUCGAUUUUUUUUAAAAUUUAUGAGACGAUUCUAAAAUGUCUGAGGAAUCGAUUGGUGCAAAGAAAGUCCUUAGCAACCGUGCUACUUUUCAAGCUAUACCCUGUUAAAGUUGAAUCUUGAGUGUAAAAAAACAAAAAACAACGACAACGUUAUUGACGUCGCCGCAACAGUUACGACGCUCCAUAUAGUGCUAUACUUGUAUGAAAUUUAUAUACCGUUUUGUUGGAGUUCGUGUCGCUCGGUCUUUAGUUCUUUAUGUUACGUUUUGUGUACUAUUGUAUUGUAUUUGUCUAUUAUAUUCGGGUGCGUGCGGAGAUCGCCAAGCUAGAAAACGGUUGACAUUUUCUUCAUUAUGAACUAGAACUAUUUUCGACCUUGGUGCCUUAUUUUUUGUUAAAAUCUAAACACUGCGACGUGUUUUCAAAAUCUUUGUUCCCAUAAAACUUCAUUUCAUCAAGGUCUCUUCUCAGAAUAUCAGCCAUCUGUCUGGCACAGGAUAACAAAUCAAUAUUUAAGUAAAUUUAAGUUGUGUGGUAAUUCUUAGUACAUUUGGGUAAAUUAAUCUUAUCUUUGUGCCGCAUAAGCAUCUCUAUAAUUCAACACAUCCCUGAGCCAUGACAUUAUAUAUUUUAUGCAUUGCAUGCGCUUCUUUUUAUCAUAAUCCAGACCGACUAGUAACCGUUGUAUAACUUUACACGUCUGAAGACGAAUAUUUGCGCGAAACAUUUUUGUAUUAUUUUUAUUUCUGGAAAUCAAUCUGAAAUCUACAACAGUCCAUUUCCGAAAGUAGGUCUGGACCUUUACUUUUAUGUGCAUUCGGGAUUUACACAAAUUGUAACCCAAAUAAUUCAGUCGUAUUAUUCAGCUGAUGUACGAAUGCUUCAUUUCUCGUGUGGGAGAAAAUCGGACAUGGAAAGGGCUUGAAUUAUUCGAGUUACUCAAAUUGAAACUCGGGAAUAUAUUUCUAGCUGUUCGGAAUUCGCGGAAACAAAUGAUUGUUUUUCGGCAUUACGGUAUUGAAUCAAUAGAGAUACCAAUUAUUUUCUUUUAACAAAUUCGAAUACCAGUCAGUUAAUAGGACUUAAGUUUGAAAUAGGGGCGGCAAUCCAUUCAUUUAAUCCAAUCAAUUGGAAAAGGGGGGGGGGGUCAACAUUGAUAGUCAAAAAGCCUUGAACUAUUCGAUAAAAAACGUUGAAUGUAAAUUAUAUGAACUCCAAAGUCUCAUAUUAUAAGACCAGUAAACCACAGGCUUCUCAAUUCUUGUAUGAUCAUGAACUAGGUGAAAACCUAGAGCUGACCGAGUGCGAGAUCCUCAUGGAUAAUCAUCGAGGUCGUUAAACACCCCUUGCAGUAAACUUUGGUUAAAUUUAAAAAAAAUCAAAAUGUAAUAGUCUGAACACAUUUCACCUCUCAUUCCACUAAAUAUUAAAUUGCAGUUACAAGUAUCACAAAACUUCCCUGACCUCUUUUCUUUAACCAUAAUAGAGGGAAGAGGAAAGGGAGGGAUCCAGAUCCCGAAAUCCGGGGCUUAAAAACACGAAAUCCGGCGAGGUCCUGAAUUAAAAAAAUUUAAAUCCCGACUACCCGGAAUUCGGAAAUAGAAUCCAAGAUCCCGAAAGGGUCAAUUCCGAAAUCCUGAGCUUAAAAACACCCGACCCCGGAGUUCCGAUAAAGGUCCUACCCCCCCCCCCCCGUAAUUCUAUAUUCUAUUCAUUCAUAAUCUUGAAUUGAGACUUGAUACUUCAAAAUUACAUUCUUUAAUUUUGAAUGAUGCACACAGGCACAAUAAAAGAAAACAGAUUUCGCUAUAUAUCUUUUCGAAAUUGGAAUUUGUGAAAGAAAAAUGACAUGUUAUAUUUUAUCUUACAUGUGUACUUUCAUUUCAAUAUGGUUCUAAAUUUAGAUUUAGUUUUCCCAUAAAUUGCGGACGGAAUAGAAGACACCUGUUUAUUUUCUGCACAUGUAGAAAAAGUUGAAAACUGGGAGUUGAAUGACAUAAUUUUUACUUAUUUUAAGAUAAAUGUUAGAGUGAGACAAUUUUUAAGUUACUGAGUAAUUUUUGGGGCAUAAUUUGUUUAUUUUUUGUUUGUUUUCCGUCUUUGUUCUCCCGACUGGUAUAACUAGUGGUCAGAUUAUUCUCUUGGUAUCGUCUGAUUUCUUAUAUGAAUCCUUAAAUUUUCAAUUGCACAAAAUACGAACAUUUCAACGUCUUUUUAAUUAAACAAUUAAAUUCACACGUCUUUCAUUAAUUAUUUGUAACCUAUUAUAAAACUUUACGUUGAGUACUGUGUUUUUCGUUCAAGACCGGCUUUUUAAAACGAUAUUGUUGGGUCAAUUCAGGUUUCAUUUUAAUUAAUUUGAUAUCAAUAGAAGAAAAAUUGUUACAUGUUAAUUUGUUUAUAAUUUUGUUGUGAGGCGUUUUUUCUUUCUGUUGAUAUCAUAAACACGAAAUGCCUUCUCCUACGCGUCUAAAACAAAAAAAAAAAACCAGUGUUUUUAAGUCAGACUGCACACAGAUCAACGUACAGAAUGCUGUGAUUUCUAAUUGGAGGUAUUUAGAUAAUUUCUAUGAGGUUUAAGACAGCACAGGCGUGCUUGUUGGAUUCAUUAUAGACCGCAGAAAGUAGUUUCUCUUUCGUGUGUCCUUUCUUGGAGUAAGGGAGAUAACUUGCGUAACUAACAACAAACGUUUUUAAUCCUGUAUUCCGCUAGAGGCGUGCAAUUACGUACACUUCGCCUUAAAGCAAGUAUUUGUAAUAUAAAUGAUUCUAACAGUUGUCAAACUGAUCUAAUGUUGUUAUGUGGCAUCUUUCUUUUGUUCCUGAAUUCCAAUUGUUUUACUUUUACAGAAUGAAGCAACAAAAUAGAUAAUUGAACAAUUUGAAUAUAUUUGUUCUUGAUCACCUUCAGAUACUUCCUGCUAAAAAGUGCUAACUUAUUCUGUCUCAUAUAUACUUGUACCAGGAAGUCUGCUUACCAGCUUAAAAAAGUACAGCCGCACUGGAUAUCUAUCAUAUGCUUAUUUUAACAUGACAGCUAUAACAUGUGUUAGUAUUUUAUACCAUUCUGAUGCUAGAUAUAUGUAGGUGUUAAGUUAUCUACUAUAUGAUUCCAAAUGAUUGCCUACACUGUAAACCAGAGACAUAUAUGUAUGUCCCUGCCUAUACCAAAUGUUAAAAAAUGAAAGAAAAGCAUUACCUGAAAGAUCAUUUUUUAUAUGACCGCAAAAAUUGAAAAUUUUUUGGUCGUAUAUUGGUAUCACAUUGGAGUAGUCGUCCAAAGAGAUUUGGUUUUCGCACUAUAACUUUAGUAUAAGUAAAUAGAAAUCUAUGAAUUUUUAACACAAGGAUUAUGACCACAAAAGGAAGGUUGGGAUUGAUUUUUGGAGUUUUGAUCCCAACAGUUUAGGAAUUAGGGGCCAAAAAGGGCCCAAAUAAGCAUUUUUCUUGGUUUUUCGCACAAUAACUUUAGUUAAGUAAAUAGAAAUCUAUGAAAUUUUUGACACAAGGUUUAAUGACCACAAAAGGAAGGUUGGGAUUGAUUUUGGAGUUGAGGUCCCAACAGUUUAGGAAUAAGGGGCCAAAAAGGGGCCCAAAUAAGCAUUUUUCUUGGUUUUUCGCACAAUAACUUUAGUAUAAGUAAAUAGAAAUCUAUGAAAUUUAAACACAAGGUUUAUGACCAUAAAAGGAAGGUUGGGAUUGAUUUUGGGAGUUUUGGUCCCAACAGUUUAGGAAUAAGGGGCCCAAAGGGUCUAAAAUUGAACUUUGUUUUUAUUUAAUCAAAAAUUGAAUUAUUGGGGUUCUUUGAUAUGCUGAAUCUAACUCUGUAUGUAGAUUCUUAAUUUUUGGUCCUGUUUUUCAAAUUGGUCUACAUUAAGGUCCAAAGGGUCCAAAAUUAAACUUAGUUUGAUUUUAACAAAAAUUGAAUCCUUGGGGUUUUUUGAUAUGCUAAAUCUAAAAAUGUACUUAGAUUUUUGAUUAUUGGCCCAGUUUUCAAGUUGGUCCAAAUCGGGGUCAAAUUAAACUUUGUUUGAUUUCAUCAAAAAUUGAAUAAUUGGGGUUCUUUGAUAUGCCAAAUCUAACUGUGUAUGUAGAUUCUUAUUUUUUGGUCCUGUUUUCAAAUUUGUCUACAUUAUAGCCCAAAGGGUUCAAAAUUAAACUAAGUUUGAUUUUAACAGAAAUUGAAUUCUUGGGCUUCUUUGAUAUGCUGAAUCUAAACAUGUACUUAGAUUUUUUAUUAUGGGCCCAGUUUUCAAGUUGGUCCAAAUCAGGAUCCAAAAUUAUUAUAUUGAGUAUUGUGCAAUAGCAAGAAAUUUUCAAUUGCACAGUAUUCAGCAAUAGCAAGAAAUCUUCAAUUGCACAGUAUUGUGCAAUAGCAAGAAAUUUUCAAUUGCACAGUAUUGUGCAAUAGCAAGAAAUUUCAAUUGCACAGUAUUGUGCAUAGCAAGAAUUUCAAUUGCACAGUAUUGCGCAAUAGCAAGAAAUAUCUAAGUGCACAAUAUUGCGCAAUAGCAAGAAAUUUUCAAUACGAGUUAUCUUUCUUUUCCAGAAUAGUAGUUGAAUCAAUUUAAAUCAUUGUUUUAUACAAUAUACAAUGUAUAUCCACUUUUACUACCAACUGAUAAAUUAAAACAAUCUUUACCAUUCAGUGAUAACAAGCACUUUUUUUUACAUUUCAAUACUUUAUGAUGUAUUUAAAUGAGUAGUUAUUGUUGCAAACUCCAUUAGAAAUUUGAAUUGAGAUCAGUUUUGGAAUAAGGGAAAGGGGGAUGUGAAAAAAAAAUUGGGGAAGGAGGGGGGGUGUGUCAAUUUAUCUCAUUUCAGAUUUCAUAAAUAAAAAGAAGAUUUCUUCAAACAAUUUUUUGAGAGGAUUCAUAUUCAACAGCAUAGUGGAUUGCUCAAAGGCAAAAAAAAAUUUAAAUUCAUUAGACCGCAUUCAUUCUGUGUCAGAAACCUAUGCUGUGUCAACUAUUUAAUCACAAUCCAAAUUUAGAGCUGAAUCCAGCUUGAAUGUUGUGUCCAUACUUGCCCCAACCGUUCAGGGUUCAACCUCUGCGGUUGUAUAAAGCUGCGCCCUGUGGAGCAUGUGGUUUUAAUUGGAUAUUAAAUUUUUUUAAUAGAAUAUUGAAUAAAAAAAAAAGCUUUCAAAUAUUAUAUUUGAAAGCUUAUAAUGAUAAAAACAUUAUUUUCCAUUUCUGACUGAGUUGAGGACAUUGUUUGUCUGUAAUUACAAGACUUAUAUGUAAGUGUCCUGUAGUUGUGAUAUAUGUAACCUCUGCUUACAGCUGUUUCAUAUUGUCGCUUCAUUUCCGUUGGGAGUCUGAAGUCUGGGUUUUUACUUUUUUCCACCUAAUGACCAACAAAAAAGGUAAAGGCUGUUCAAUCACAUCAUGAUCCACUUAAUUAUUGUGUUUUUUGUUUACUAUCAAACCUGAAAACAACUUUUAACCAGACAGACUUAGCUGGAAGCCUUUGUUACAUUAGAAGGAUAUGUUAAGAGCCAAGAUGGAAUUUAAUUGAACUUAAUUCUGGGCCAUUGACCUAAAGAUAUAGAUUAAUUUAUGUUUUGUCUGUUGUAAAGUACUCUUGUUUUUUUAACUCUGACAUCUGGCCCUAAGGGUACAAUGUGAGCUUUUCCAAUCUAUUGGUGUGUUUUGUCUGUCGUUCAUUAUAAACUUUUGCUAAACUUUUAAAUAAGAAAAAAAGCCUCUCUGUCCACUGUUCAAAGUACAGCAAGAAUUCUACCCAAAUUAGGUUUUUUUGGCUUCAAUGGCUCGCCAUUCUUUUAAACGUCAACUGAAUUUAGUAAGUUUUUAGAAAUUAGUGCGUGAUCCCUCAACCUAAGGCUAUUGAUUGUCAUGCUUAUCAGGUAUAACUGUAGGGCACAGUUUGAGCCCAAAUACAAACCUGAUGAAUUGUAAUCUGAAAAAAAAAAAUGGUUUUAUUCUGAGGGGUGAGCUUCCUUUCUGAGUCUUGAUCACACCAAAUAAACACCAAGUACUUUAAAAAAUUGUGACAACCCUAGGGGAAAAAUAUCACUUCUGUUCAUUUUUAUUUUUGAAAUACAUCAAGGAAAAGACUUCUUCCUUCUGCAGGUCCAGGUAAGCCAAAAACUAGCAAAUUAUGUUUUUAGAGAAAUUACCUUCGUUAUACUACCAUCUGAACAUUACUCUUUUGAAGUCAAUGGGUUCCCUGGGGUUCUCUUUAGCAUGUUUACAUGCAGAUAUAUGAGACACAUCUAUCAGCAUCCCUCAGUCUUAUAGAUAGGGCACAAAAUGUCAAAAUUGAUGCUUUUGGCACCUGCUGACCACUUAUGGGGCAGAUUACCUUCCAUUCUACUCACCUCCUCACUCUAACCACCCUGCCCUGUGAUCCAUAUCAUAGCUUUAUUGGACUCCAUGUGCACCACAGCAAUUAAACAAAAUCAUGGCAGCAAAAAGAUUAUUAUACAUCUACAAUGAUGCAGGCUUAUAUAGUUUUUGUCUUGUCUGUCCAUCUGUUGACUUGUCAGUCUGUCAGUCUUGUCAGUACAUCUGUCAGUCUGACCGUCCAUAAUUCAUCUUAGUUUAUGGAGGAUAAAUGAAAUUCUUUGAAUUGGAUUGCACAUUGAUCACUAUGUCUAUGAUGAUUAAGGCCAUAGUUUCCUAAAACAUCCUUCAGCUGCCCCCUUAAAAAAUAUGCAUUGAUUUUAAGUUUACUCUCUAAGGGACUGAAUUUGAAAAUUUAGUCUGUAAUUUUAAUCAAAUUCAAUGUGAUUUUUAAUCUACUCCAGGAUUGAUCCUGUGCUUAUUAGAAGAAGAUCGUGAGAACUACAAGGCAAGACUCCAAAAUGAGGUAUUUAAAAAUAUUGUAGAUAGAUAAAAUCUUUUAACUUAUAGACCAACAUUCAAACUAGGUUUGUUUAUAUGACUUAAAGGGCCAUAAUAGCUACCAAAUUGAUGUCAUCAAAGUUAUAUUUGAUUUAUACUUUACUAAAAUGGAUAUCAGAAUUAAUUACAAAAAAUUGGAAAUGUAGCUAUCAAGAAUGAGUAAAUAUUGUAUUCAUGGGGUAAAGUGGUAGACUUUGGAGUACAAUGUUCAGAAUGGAUAUGACAUGGAAUUACAGGAGAUAAAUUUAAUCAACAUGUGGUUUAUCAAAAUUUAUCAAUCUGAUUAGAACUGGUGUAAAUGCAAAUAGAGGAUAAGAAAAAAGAGAGAUAUUUGAUUAGCAUCAAUUUGUGUUAUGAACAUCUAGAUGUCACUGUGUAUCAAUAGAGGGCAAUAUGUAGUAUACUUCUAUUAGACUCAACUAAAAUAAAACCCCAAAAGGUAUAAAAAGGUCAACACACUUAGGUGUUCCACUAUAAACCUAAAUAUAUGUCUUAAAAACUGCAGAGUCUUGGCAGUUGUAGCCCAGAACACUUACAAAAUAAAUAAUUUAGACCAACGCAGAAAAUUCAAUUUUGAUACGACCGCAAGAAUUCUGCGGUCGUAUAUUGGUAUGACGUUGGUGUCGUCGUCACCGUCCCAAGACACAUUGGUUUUCGCACUACAACUUUAGUUUAAGUAAAUAGAAAUCUAUGAAAUUUAAACACAAGGUUUAUGACCACAAAAGGAAGGUUUGGAUUGAUUUUGGGAGUUUUGGUCCAAACAGUUUAGGAAUUAAGCGCCAAAAAGGCCCAAAUAGGCAUUUUUCUUGGUUUUCGCACAAUAAAUUUAGUAUAAGUAAAUAGAAAUCUAUGAAAUUUAAACACAAGGUUUAUGACCAUAAAAGGAAGGUUGGGAUUGAUUUUGGGAGUUUUGCUCCCAACAGUUUAUGAAUUAGGGGCCCAAAGGGUCCAAAAUUAAACUUUGUUUGAUUUCAUCAAAAAUUGAAUAAGUGGGGUUCUUUGAUAUGCCGAAUCUAACUGUGUUUGUAGAUUCUUAAUUUUUGGUCCCAUUUUCAAAUUGGUCUACAUUAAGGUCUAAAGGGUCCAAAAUUAAACUUAGUUUGAUUUAACAAAAAUUGAAUUCUUGGGGUUCUUUGAUAUGCUGAAUCUAAACAUGUAUUAAGAUUUUUGCUUAUGGGCCCAGUUUUCAAGUUGGUCCAAAUCUUGGUCCAAAAUUAAACUUUGUUUGAUAUCAACAUAAAUUGAAUCCUUGGGGUUCUUUGAUAUGCUGAAUCUAAACAUGUAUUUAGAUUUUUGAUUAUGGGCCCAGUUUUUAAGUUGGUCCAAAUCUUGGUCCAAAAUUAAACUUUGUUUGAUUUCAACAAAAAUUGAAUAUAUGGGAUUCUUUGAUAUAUGCUGAAUCUAACCAUGUACAAUGUAUUUAGAUAUUUUGAUAUUUGGGCCCGGUUAUGAAAUUGGUCCACAUUGAGGUCUAAAGGGUCCAAAUUGAACUUUAUUUGAUUUCAUCAAAAAUUGAAUUCUUGGGGUUCUUUGAUAUGCUGAAUCUUACCAUGUAUUUAGAUUUUGGAUAUUGGACCAUAAUAGGUAAACGUCCAAUUUAAAAUUUUUAAGUUUUUAAAUUUAAGUUCUUAGACCACAUUCAUUCUGUGAGAAACCUAUGUUGUGUCAACUAAUUAAUCACAAUCCAAAUUCAGAGCUUCAAUGUUGUGUCCAUACUGGUUUUAUUUGACAAAAAAUAAAAAUUAUAAUACAAACAAUAACAAGAAUGCUGAUAUGGGACAGAUAUUAUAUGUUAUUCAGUUCUCAGACAGGGUAUAUACUGUGACAUUCCCGGCUUAGAGUUUAUAUCCCCUGAGCCGAAGGCGAAAGGGAUAUAAGCCCUAAGCCGGGAAUGUCACAGUAUAUACCCUUUCUGAGACCUGAAUUACACAUAUAUUACGGAUUACCCCUGACUUAAUGUUAUUUUCCAGUGCAGGUAUUUGUUGACAACACAUAUAUAUUGAAAAACCCAACCUGAUAUGUUCGGCAUACGUGAAGGAUUUUCUAAUUUGCUGUGAACAUAAUUUUAUCGUGUAUGUAAUAAUUUAUAAUAACACUUUUAACAUUAAAUUUAAGUAUUAAAAGUGUAAAAUGCGUGAUUUUGUAUCAAAAAUGUAUUAUUGACUGAAGCACGUCAUUAUUUUCCCUCUGUGAGCCUCUGACAGUCUGAAAGCUUUUGACUACGUCACAUAGUAACCGUGUUAUGAUGACGUUUUUGAGGUUCCAAUUGGGGAUAAAAACGUUGUAUAUACCCGGCAGUUUCCUGAAUAUAUACUGACAUCUCUGUGUUGUUAUCCAAUCACAAACCUCAACACAUUUGUAAUCCGUAAUAUAUAAGUAUGUGACAGGAUUCAACAGUUUAAAUCUACCUCUAUCCUUUCAUCUCUUCUUGAUGGAGUCAAAAUAACAAGACUAAGGUUUGUAAUUUUUAAGCUACAAUUUAUUAAAGUUUAUAAUCAGCUCUUAAUUAAAGGUGAACCACUAGUGGUAAAUCAAUGAUAUUUGGUAUACAAUUGUAUAAGUAUUGGUACAUCUCAUUCUAUAGAGAUUAUUCUACCUUGCCUUUUCAGUAAUGGUUUAUUUAGUUUGAAUCUUUUGCAUAGUUUACAUGUUCCAGUUAGUGAUAUGGUCAGUGUUGCCAUUUUAAUUUGUAUGAGAAUCGACUAUGGGGUAUGGGCUUUGAUCAUUGUUGUCAUUUGGUCUCUUGUGGAGAGAUGUCUCAUUGGCAACACCUUCUUUUUUAUAGUCAAAUUUUUUCCACAAUUUGUUGUUUGUUUUUUUUUUUCAUUUUUAUACGACCGCAAAAAUUUUAAUUUUUCGUCGUUUAUUGCUAUCACGUUGGCGUCGUCGUCGUCGUCGUCCGAAUACUUUUAGUUUUCGCACUCUAACUUUAGUAAAAGUGAAUAGAAAUCUAUGAAAUUUUAACACAAGGUUUAUGACCACAAAAGGAAGGUUGGGAUUGAUUUGGGGAGUUUUGAUCCCAACAUUUUAGGAAUUAGGGGCUAAAGGGCCCAAAUAAGCAUUUUCUUGGUUUUCGCACAAUAACUUUAAGUUUAAGUAAAUAGAAAUCUAUGAAAUUUUGACACAAGGUUUAUGACCACAAAAGGAAGGUUGGGAUUGAUUUUGGGAGUUUUGGUUCUAACAGUUUAGGAAUUAAGGGGACAAAAUAGGGCCCAAAUAGCAUUAUUCUUGGUUUUCGCACAAUAACUUUAGUUAAGUAAAUAGAAAUCAAUGAAAUUUAACACAAGGUUUAUGACCACAAAAGGAAGGUUGGUAUUGAUUUUGGGAGUUGAGGUCUGAACAGUUUUAGGAAUUAGGGGCCAAAAAGGGGCCCAAGUAAGCAUUAUUCUUGGUUUUCGCACCAUAACUUUAGUUUAAGUAAAUAGAAAUCUAUGAAAUUUAAACACAAGGUUUAUGACCACUAAAGGAAGGUUGGGUUUGAUUUUGGGAGUUUUGGUCCCUACAGUUUAGGAAUAAGGGGCCCAAAGGGUCCAAAAUUGAACUUAGUUUGAUUUCAUCAAAAAUUGAAUAAUUGGGGUUCUUUGAUAUGCCGAAUCUAACUGUGUAUGUAGAUUCUUAAUUUUUGGUCCCGUUUUCAAAUUGGUCUACAUUAAGGUCCAAAGGUCCAAAAUUAAACUUAGUUUUGAUUUUGACAAAAAUUAAAUCCUUGGGGUUCUUUGAUAUGCUGAAUCUAAAAAUGUACUUAGAUUUUUUGAUUAUUGGCCCAGUUUUUCAAGUUGGUCCAAAUCGGGUCCAAAUUAAACUUUGUUUUUGAUUCAUCAAAAAUUGAAUAAUUGGGGUUCUUUGAUAUGCCAACUUACUGUGUAUGUAGAUUCUUAAUUUUUAGUCCCGUUUUCAAAUUGGUCUACAUUAAGUCCAAAGGGUCUAAAAUUAAACUAAGUUUGAUUUUAACAAAAAUUGAAUUCUGACUUUUUUGAUAUGCUGAAUCUAAACAUGUACUUAGAUUUUUGAUUAUGGGCCCAGUUUUCAAGUUGGUUCAAAUCAGGAUUCAAAAUUAUUAUAUUAAGUAUUGUGCAAUAGCAAGAAAUUUUCAAUUGCACAGUAUUCAGCAAUAGCAAGAAAUCUUCAAUUGCACAGUAUUGUGCAAUAGCAAGAAAUUUUCAAUUGCACAGUAUUGCACAAUAGCAAGAAAUUUCAAUUGCACAGUAUUGUGCAAUAGCAAAUAUUUCAAUUGCACAGUAUUACGCAAUAGCAAGAAAAUCUAAUUGCACAAUAUCGUGCAAUAGCAAAAAAUUUUCAAUUGAUUGGAGUUAUCUUUCUUUGUCCAGAAUAGUAGUUGAAUCAACUUAAAUCAUUGUUUUAUACAAUAUACAAUGUAUAUUCACUUUUACUACCAACUGAUAAAUUAAAACAAUCUUUACCAUUCAGUAAUAACAAGCACCUUUUGUUACAUUUUAAUAUUUUAUGAUGUAUUUAAAUGAGUAGUUAUUGUUGCAAACUCCAUUAGAAAUUUGAAUUGAGAUCAGUUUUGGAAAAAGGGAAAGGGGGAUGUGAAAAAAAAAAUGGGGGAGGGGGUUAAAUUUUUCUCAUUUCAGAUUUCAUAAAUAAAAAGAAUUUCUUCAAACAUUUUUUUGAGAGGAUUAAUAUUCAACAGCAUAGUGAAUUGCUCAAAGGAAAAAAAAGUAUUUGAAGUUCAUUAGACCACAUUCAUUCUGUGUCAGAAACCUAUGCUGUGUCAACUAUUUAAUCACAAUCCAAAUUUAGAGCUGAAUCCAGCUUGAAUUGUUGUGUCCAUACUUGCCCCCAACGUUCAGGGUUCAACCUCUGCGGUCGUAUAAAGCUGCGCCCUGUGGAGUAUCUGGAUACUCUAUGCAAUGCCUCAUUUUAAUCCAAGUUUACUUUAAAGUUGAUAAUACGGUAAAAAAGUCAAUGUCAUUUACCAGUAUUUCUUUUAACAUUUCCUUGAUCUUAAGAACAAAGAGCAUCCCCGAGUUGAUCGUAUGACCUGUUUAGGUCAGAAAAUGAUGAAGGUCUACUAUUGACAUGAUGUUAGAUUUUGUUUACAAUUAACGGAAGUCUCGUGAGAUGCCAGAUGUGUCUUUACUUGAAGCUAUUGUUGCGAUAAUGAGGACACAGUAAGAGAAGAGACACAUACUUUGAUGUUCGACCUGAUUCCUAGUACUGUGACCUUUACUUUUCCUUGGCAUGCGUUGCAGUUCACGUCGUCCCUAGACAGAACAUUAACUCGGAUAUAUCCUUUUGUCUUGAUUUUUUUUGUACUAGUAACCUGACGAAAGUCUACCAGUAGUUACGAGAAAAAUAUUGUUUAGUUUGUCGUGGUAUUAAUUUUCAUUAGUCUUAUGUCUGUUAUAAAAUGUCAUAUGAAACUUUAUGGCAUCAUUGUAUUUGACCUGAAAUCUUCUUGCUUUAUGUAAGAUUACUGUAAUUAAGUGCUAUAAAACAAAAUAAAAAAUCUGUAAAGUCUGAAUGUUCAAAUAUGCCAAAUAAACUAUUGAUUAUUGAAAUUCUGCUUACAAAUAAUGCUAUAAAAAUUUAAAAUGUAAGAAACACCUUUCCCAUCUUAAGUUUAUUUUACCAACGAUAAAAACAUAGCACAAAUUUUGGAAUUAAUAAUAUUAAAAUAGAAAACAGUGUUUUGGUUGGAAAUGCACAUAAAGAUUGAAAUAAACAAUUAAUUUCCCCAUUGGCCAAUAUGAUAGCCUUUUUUGAGAUACAGAUUUUAGAAAGUUGAUUUUUUUAACGAAACCUUGCUAGAAUUAAAGAAAAGUUAUUAGGACUGUAUUUUUUGGUAUAAAAAAUAUAGGGACACGUUGCUUUUCUAAGCGUAAUUUGUACUUAUUUAUCUCCCAUGCUUAUCAAUUUUGCACUUAAAAAUACGUGUCUUAUCCUAGCGUUAAAAAGACAUCUCAGUUCCGUUAGGGCUAAGGAAAAUAAUUUAUUUGGCCUUUGGUAUAAUGCAGAAUGCACAAAAUCUAUAAUAAAAAAAAAUAACGGGCGUACAUAUCAACCAAUCAGGGUUAGCUAUACUCUUAAUUCUGAAUACCAUGUUAUGCUGAUAAAAUGGCUGAGCCCAAAAAAUGUAAUGGUUUAUUGUAACCUCAAGAAAUUCUGGUUCUUUAUAAAUAGAUCAUGUAUUAAGGGAACAAUACCCUUUAUUAUUUCUCUAUCUUGACAAUUGCUAGAGAAAGUUACUGCUCAUGGCAGUUUGUGGUUUUUAUUCCAAUCUUAUUGAUUAGGACUGUUUUCCUACUGAUCAUGAAAGUUUUGAUUUUCCAUGGUACUUAUAAAAGUUUGACUUCAUCAAUACAGCCAAUAGUGCUGAAAGUGGCAUUAAACACCAACAUACCAUCAAUCAUAGAUAAGUAGAGUUUAAAUCAAUAAAACAAUUACCAAAGGAAUUUCCAAUAAAAUGCUCUGCAGGGCGCAGCUUGUUACGACCACUGAGGUGUAAACAGUUGGGGCAAGCUUGAAUAUUUGUUUAAAUAUAAGACGCAGCAAAAGUUUCUGACACAAAGUGAGUUUAAGCUGAUAAAGUUCAAUGCUUCUAAGAGCCUCUUCUUUAUUUUACUUCAAUUAAGUUUUGCAUCUGUCAGACCAGAAUUGUCUUAUGGAUAUAAAGUACUAAAUGUUGGCCCCAUUGCCGGCAAUGCUAUUUUAAGCAAUUAUCUCCUUAAAAGGCGCUUUUAAUAAACUAAUUAUGGAAAAACUGCUGUUGUCUAAUUGAAGCUCGAUAUCUAUUUGCGAUUUUUACCGCACUCAAAUAUAUAUGGUCCAUGGCUUUUCUUGGUGAAUUUGGGGUUUUCACGAUACCUGACGAUUUCGCAGAAAAAUUUCCCUAAUUUUGAGCAACAUAAAAAAAAUAUUUCCGGCCCUUCAUACUAUACAUUUAAGAACAAAUUAGUGCUUGCAUGAAACUUCAUUCAUAAUGCUUUCCAGAAAGAAAAUAUAUAAAAGAUAUAACAACCAAUCACAGAGAGCCAUCUAUUUUUAUCUCUAUGUCAUGUUCCCUUCAUAAAAUGGCUGCGCCCAUGUAAUUUUAUUUGGUACAUUGUAACCUUAUUAUAUGUUGAGAAAUUUGUCAUUAGAUAAUUGUAUGAUCUGUUACCUUUCAUUGAUCAUGAUCUAAGUACUAAUGCUGAACACAUUCUAUAUAAAUGAUUGGCACUUGACAACAAAAGCCAUUGUUAAUUUUCUUACUGGAAAAUGAAAUUUAACAGAACAGAAAUAAUAAGUAAUUUUUUAAAGAGAUAAUCAGAAUAACCUAAAAAUUGGACACCACAGCAGUUUAUAAAACAAUAAAACACUACAUGUAUUAAAAUGAAAACUCACAAUUAGCAGAGAACGAUGUGAAAGGCUCACAAACAGCAAAAAAACAACUUAAGAUCUCACAAACAGUUUUCCUGCUAUAACCUGUCAACAAAUGCUAUUAAAAUUUUGAUAUUUUGAUACUAGUCUGCUGUUCAGGUGUUGUAGGGAAAACGGUACUAUUUAUUCUGCCAUAGGCGACAAUACUAACAUUUUCUAAUUUUACCACUUUUUAUAAUAAAAACUGGAUAAAACAGUUUAUGUGUGGUGUUAGUACUUUAUACUCUAUUUUAAAAAUUGAAGCCAAAUAGUAUCAUGACCAAUUUCCAACGGAGCUUGUUUAUGUUAUCCAUGCUCACCGUCAUUUUGCAGCAAAUUUAUAAAAUUUUGAAAGCCUUUUCGAAUAAUUCUCUAGAAAAUAUUGCAAUAGGUUUUAAAAUUUAUAUUGUAAAUAUAAACACUGCAGUUAUUCAUAGAUAAAUAAAAAAAUAUAUUGUACCCUUACAUCCAAUCACAGCGCUCCUAAGUUGACUUCCUUCACCUGUCUUGGGUACACAAAAGGCCAACCUAAUGCUAGGAAAAUGUAAUACUACUGUUUUCCCUAUAUAUGGUCUUUGAUAGAUAAAAAAUUUUCACUAAAUGUUGUUUCCGUGCACUUACUUAUGAUUCUAAAGUUAUGAACCAUUCAGCCAAUGUUAAAGUUGAAAUAUACUUUUACUUAUGGCAAAAUGGUGGUCCAGUAUAAUAUUGAUGAUUUUUAUACGACCGCAAAAAUUUUAGUUUUUCGUCGUAUAUUGCUAUCACGUUGGCGUCGUCGUCGUCCGAAUACUUUUAGUUUUCGCACUCUAAUUUUAGUAAAAGAGAAUAGAAAUCUAUGAAAUUUUAACACAAGGUUUAUGACCACAAAAGGAAGGUUGGGAUUGAUUUUGGGAGUUUUGAUCCCAACAUUUUAGGAAUUAGGGACCAAAAAGGGCCCAAAUAAGCAUUUUCUUGGUUUUCGCACAAUAACUUAAGUUUAAGUAAAUAGAAAUCUAUGAAAUUUUGACACAAGGUUUAUGACCACAAAAGGAAGGUUGGGAUUGAUUUUGGGAGUUUUGGUUCUAACAGUUUAGGAAUUAGGGGCCAAAAAAAAGGGCCCAAAUAAGCAUUAUUCUUGGUUUUCGCACAAUAACUUUAGUUUAAGUAAAUAUAAAUCAAUGAAAUUUAAACACAAGGUUUAUGACCAAAAAGGAAGGUUGGAUUGAUUUUGGGAGUUGAGAUCUGAACAGUUUAGGAAUUAGGGGCCAAAAAGGGGCCAAAUAAGCAUUAUUCUUGGUUUUCGCACCAUAACUUUAGUUAAGUAAAUAGAAAUCUAUGAAAUUUAAACACAAGGUUUAUGACCACUAAAGGAAGGUUGGGUUUGAUUUUGGGAGUUUUGGUCCCAACAGUUUAGGAAAAGGGCCCAAAGGGUCCAAAAUUGAACUUAGUUUGAUUUCAUCAAAAAAAUUGAAUAAUUGGGUUCUUUGAUAUGCCGAAUCUAACUGUGUAUGUAGAUUCUUAAUUUUUGGUCCUGUUUUCAAAUUGGUCUACAUUAAGGUCCAAAGGGUCCAAAAUUAAACUUAGUUUGAUUUUGACAAAAAUUGAAUCCUUGGGGUUCUUUGAUAUGCUGAAUCUAAAAAUGUACUUAGAUUUUUGAUUAUUGGCCCAGUUUUCAAGUUGGUCCAAAUCGGGUCCAAAUUAAACUUUGUUUUAUUUCAUCAAAAAUUGAAUAAUUGGGGUUCUUUGAUAUGCCAAAUCUUACUGUGUAUGUAGAUUCUUAAUUUUUAGUCCCGUUUUCAAAUUGGUCUACAUUAAAGUCCAAAGGGUCUAAAAUUAAACUAAGUUUGAUUUUAACAAAAAUUGAAUUCUUGAGCUUUUUUGAUAUGCUGAAUCUAAACAUGUACUUAGAUUUUUGAUUAUGGGCCCAGUUUUCAAGUUGGUUUAAAUCAGGAUCCAAAAUUAUUAUAUUAAGUAUUGUGCAAUAGCAAGAAAUUUUCAAUUGCACAGUAUUCAGCAAUAGCAAGAAAUCUUCAAUUGCACAGUAUUGUGCAAUAGCAAGAAAUUUUCAAUUGCACAGUAUUGUGCAAUAGCAAGAAAUCUUCAAUUGCACAGUAUUGUGCAAUAGCAAAUAUUUUCAAUUGCACAGUAUUCAACCUCUGCGGUCGUAUAAAGCUGUGCCCUGCGGAGCAUCUGGUUGUUUUUUGUCGUUAUAUUUGUAUACUUGAUACUGUGUAGAUUGAAAGAUAGGUAUAUAUUGUGGCAGGUUAAAAAAAAGCGUGAAAGUCCCUUGCAAUUGUUUGCUGGGAAUUUGACAGCUUAUUCCUUGUUUUUGCAUGUAAUCAUAUAGACAUGCAAGAUAUUUCUUUGAGGUAUCUUAAAAUUCUUAAAACUUUAAAAAUUGAUGAUUUAUAACAAGUUUACUCAUUAGAAGUUGAAAAGGCACUGAAUAAACUCAUAUUAAUCCUGCCAACGAGAAGACUUGCACUGAGCAAACCUUAAUAAUAAUUAUCCUUUUUUGACGAAUUCAUAUCAAACAUACUUGAUAAAAGUAAAAAAUGACAAAAUGAAAGGAAAUCUACUUGAUGGAAAAAGUUCUUUGAAAUCCUUCAGCUGCAGGUCAUUCCUGAUUGUCAUUUUCAUAACGAAGCCUCAUACAUCCUUUCUUUUAAUGGAAAAACAGUCUUAUUUAUGGACAGUUAACUAAAUGUUUGGAAUCUUGUUAGAAAUGAAGACAGAUAAUGAAUGUCAUAUAACUUGGUCAUUUAACUAAGCAUUGUUUGAAUGUACUUUAGCUUGAAUGAAUCCUGUAAAUACUGAGCACUUCAAUUUAAAUAAGUAACCAUACAUACAAUAUCUAUUGAUGCACUUCUUGCAAGCAUCUGCAGAUAAUGUUUAUUUUAUAAAUGGAUAAAGUAUUGUCUAUUUUCUAACAAAUCCUUAUUUUUUUGAAAAAAAAUUGAUGAGUGGCCAAAAAUGGUCACUACUGUUCAUUAUAAAUAGAAUAAUAUUGAAGAGUGUAAAUUCAGAAAUUAUUGCAAUGCUUUUAUUAUUGGGAAAAAUGCGUCAGGGUUAUGAUGGCAAUAAUUUAAACUCGCAUUUUGAAAUUUUUCAUAUGAAUUCAUGAUUUUUCUCAAUAUUGCAAAAAAAUAGAAUUGCAUUUUAAUCUAACAUGACAAAAUCGCAAUAAUAAAUGCACGCAAUAAUUUCUGAAUUUACAUUAUCAUAUGAUGAAUAGAAAGAACUCUGUUUAGCAAAAAUGUGAUGGAUGAAAUGGAAAGAAUAGACUUUUUUUUGUUAUACUCUGAAAAAGAUUUAAUUUUUAUCUGUAUGUUUAAAUUUAGCAAUUAUGCAUGAAACUAAGCUUUUAAAAUCAUAUUGCCCAGUAUUACUCAUUUCUUGUCCAUCUUACUUUUGUUUUCUUGCUCAAGUUAUACCUCCCCAACCCUAAAAAAGAACUGUCACUUUGGUUUUCUUUGAUAUAUUCAACAAAUGUAUUUUAAAAUUCAGAGUUAUUUUGAACUCAAAACUUAGUGUAUUUUUUUCUUCUUCUUCUGCCAGUCAGUUAAUAGUACAUUAAAUCUCUUACUUCCUCUUCAAUAACUGUCAAGAAGUUGACCUAAUUUUCUUUUCUGGUCAGCUAACCUAAAUUUCUGUCCUGAUCAGCUGACUUUUAUUAUAAACCAUAACAACUUUCAACGUGAGUCUUAAGUCAGCUGUGAUCAUUAACUAAUUGGUGUCACUUAGGACAUACAGAAGAUAAUUCGUUUAAACUAAAUAAUGAACAAAUAUUUCAUUAUUUUUAAUGACAAAAGGUAACAAUGACUGAAAAUCAAGAAAUGCCCCAUGCAGUAUCCUUAGGUUGACCAGCGUAAUGGUAAUAACUUUGGAAAACAUCUCUUACAACAUUUUUUGUAACCUUUGAAAUUCUAAGAUAAUACAAUUAUGUGUUGAGCUUUUUGUUAUAUUCACUUCUUAACCAUCAAACCAUGAAAAUGCAAGUGACAUUACAAAAAGACAUCACUAACAAAAUGUCAAUUUUGCAAUGAAACCUCUUAUUAAAUGGCACGACAGUAUUACCGCUAAGCUUCGAUUUUCACAUUGUUCUGACUAAUCUUUCAUCUUGGUAUUAAAUCAUAAUCAAAUUUUGUUACAGUGUCAUUGAUAUUUUGUCAAUACAGGAGCAUGUAUGAUAAGAUGUAUGUUAUUAAUCAAAACAGUGGCCAAGGUUACCUUUGUAAUCGGAAGAAAACAUUUUUUUUUAAACAGGUAUUAUUCCUUUUUCUUAGAUGAAAAACAAUAAGGUUUAACUUUUACAUAUGAACUCAAGAAAAAAAUGGGUAUACAUCAUGUCAGCAUCAAUCCAGAUUCACAAAAUUCCAAUAGACAUUUAUAGAUAUAUAAGUAAGGAGAUGUGGAACGAUUUCCAAUGAAGCAACUAUCCACCAUAGUCCAAAUGAAAAAGAUAUAAGCAAAUAAGCAAAUAUGGUAUUCAACAAUAGGCAAUGCAUGUAUGAACAUCUGUAUUUUGUGUGCUGUAAAAUCUUUUCUUAACAACUAGCAGGAAUGAAAUUUGUACUGUACUUUCACAUUCUAAUAAAUAUCUAAUUAUUUAUUGCAUAAAACUAUCUCACAAUUUUUUUCAAUAGAUAUAUUAUUAGAAGAUGUGGUAUGAGUGCCAAUGAGACGACUCUCCAUUCAAGACACAAUUUGUAAAAGUAAUCCAUUACAGGGUCCAAGUACGGUCUUCCACACAGAGCCUUGUCUCACACUGAACAGCAAGCUAUAAAGGGCCCCCAAAAUUAACUAGUGGUGUAAAACCAUUCAAACAGGAAACCAAUGGUCUAAUCUAUUUCAAAAACAAGAAAUGAGAAACCUUUAUGAACCACAUCAACAAACGACAACCACUGAACAUCUGUUGCUGACUAGGACAGGCAAAACCAACUGCAGCGAGUUGAAUAACCAAUUUUGGUUCUUGCAGCAUAUGAAUAUUUAUAUGUUUGCAGAAAUGAAUGAUUGAAGCAAAAACAUUGGGACUGUUAAUUAGGUGGGCAAAAAACCAACGGGGUCUGUAACAAAUGUGAUGAUUUUUGUGCCAAUCAGAACUUCAAAGUGACACCAGCAAAGCUUUAACUUUGCAUUGAAAAUCUAUGGGAAAGCUUAGUUUGAUAUUAUUUCCAUUGAUUGCAUGCAUUGAAAUUAAGGGGCCAACAAAAGGGUAUAAUGAGUCUGAUAAAUAUCUGAUAUUUUACAAACAACUGAACCAAUUGAAACUUGAAACAUGCCAGCGAUGUUCCUGUGACUGCUGAAAAGUGUAAUUACUUUUGAUGCAAGGCAUGUCAUAGUUCAUGGAAAAAUGUACAUUUCUUUUCAUCAAGAACAAGUCAAGUGAAGCGAAAACAAACCUUUCAGUAGUAUAACAUUAGAAAUUACUUACCGUGUAUUGUUCGUUAGUCCAUGGAAGUAUUGUAUUGUCAAUAUAAUACUUCCAUGGUUAGUCUUAAUAAAAAAUAGUGUCAACUAAUCCAGUUUUCAAUUAGUCCUUCUUUUCAAGAGCCAGUUGAGCAAAAACUGGACAGGAAGGUUCUUUGCAAUCUCCCGUACAGACAGAGUUAUUGUCCUUUCCUCCUCAAUUGAAGAGGAAUGGACAACAACUCUGUCUGUAUGGGAGAUUGGGUUUCUUUGAGGGUUUGUUAUAAAUGUUGUUACUUUUAAAAUUUGAAAAAGGGCUUCCAGCAUAAGGCAAAGUUUACAUUAAGCUUUGUUUUGGUUCUUGUUUGAGCACAUAUGAAAGUGGUUGAAAUGGAAAUAUUUUGAUAUUUGUUCUUAAAAAAUUCUGUACCUAAAAUAAGGCUUGAGAAGAAACUCAACUCAACUUGGAGAAUGUUUGAAUCACAUCAGAUGUCUCAGAAUUUUUAACCCUAAUGUUUCAUAGCACUACACUAGCAAUUUGAGAAAAAAUACAAUUAAGAUAAAAUUAACAUUUCCUUCUUUUUUUGUAAUAGCAGUUGAAUAAAACCAACAUUAAAAUAAAUGUUUUUACCAAUUUUCAUAUUUAUCCCAUUACUGUCUGUUAAUGUAUGUAAAAAGACCUAGUUUGUGGUCUAAGAAAAUGGCUAGAGGGAUAAGAAUCUCUCACCAGUAAACAUUGACUCUUAUAUUUUCAAUCCAAAGAAACCAUUAAUCAAUAUGUUAACACUGUAGGCUUAAGGUUCUAUAUUUGUACGUCACUAAUUUAUCAUUAUGCAUCAUACAACCUCAUGGUUUUUACUCUCUUCACGAUGUUUUGUUCACAAAUUAUGAGAAAAAUCCUUUAAUUGAUUUUUUUUCUUAGAUGUAAUUAAAAAGAUGAUGAUAAUUUCUCAAAUGACACCAUAAAGAUAUUCAUAAAAAGUUCAUUGACACCAAUGAUGGAUAAUUGUAUGUCUAAAGAAUGGCGUCAUUGAAAAAUCUAAUCGGAGAGUCUGGGGUAUAAUAUAUGAUGUCAGUUAAAUCGUCAGUUUCUCUUGCUGACGACAGUGAAUUUUUCUUGAGCGUAAAUUAAUCUUUUUGUAUAUUCAUUGGAUUAUAAAACAAUUUCAGCUGUUAAUGAGGUCAUCAAGUUUUAAAGAAUAUUUCUCAGAAUAUAUUUGUAGAUAUUCCUGUGAUUUGCAUUAGACUGUAGGAUAGAAAAAAAUGUCAUGUUAUUUGUAAAAUUUGCCUAUACACGAUAUUUGAGAUAACAGUAAACAUUAUUUAAGACCACAUUUGAUAUUUAUCUAAUGGACAUAUAAAAAUAUAGACAUUACACAUAUUUGAAAGUUUGGUUGAUUAAUGUAAUUAAUGUAAUGAGCGAAGAGAGCAAUGAGGUACACGUUUUAAAGAUGACAAAAAACAAUUAAUAUCUUCAUAGACGACAAUGGUAGCCUUAUCUAGAUAUAGACUUUAGAAAGUUGAUUCUUUAAAUGAAACCUUGCUUUAAUUAAAGAAAAAUUUAUAGAGCAAUACUUUUUGGUAAUAAAAUAAAUAUAGGUUCCCAUGGCUAAAUUGUACCAUAGUUAUAUUCCUUGCCUAUCAUUUUUGCACUUAAAAAUAUGUGUCUCAUCCUAGUGUAGAAAAGACUUCUCAGAUCAGUUAGAGCUAAGGAAAUAUAUUAUUUUGCCUUUGAUUUUAUGUAGAGUGCAGAAAGUCUCUAAUAAUAAAAAAUAAUGGGUGCACAUAUCAACCAUAGUCUAAAUCUGAAUAUCUUCUAAAAGUAAAGGUUGAUUGUAACCUGAAGACUGGCUAUAGAAUUGAAUAAUGAUAGACACUAAAUAAAUAUGUUCCUAAAUAAUAACAAAUUAGACUCCCAUGGUAUAUUUCUAUGCUAUUUGUUCAGAUUUGAUUUUUUUUUGUCUUGAGUUGUAGAAUAACUCAGGAAGGAGACAAUAAGGAAUCAAACUGUUUGCUUGUGGAAGUGUCUCUGGCCUACUUGACGUCUAUGUACCAAUCUUAACAACUCACCUUAUUUAAUAGAUAAUAUGGAUGUACUUGUGUUCAUAAAUAUAUAUUCAAAGCGAAAGUGUAACUUCAGAUGACCUAGUUUUUCUCUGAUUUUGAUUUUGUAAGACUUUCUUUCUAUUAAAAAAAAUACGCUGUUGAUUCAUUAUUUGUGAAUACAAGUCUUUGUGACUUUCCUGGGUUAUUGUGAACCGUGAAUUUUAGCAUUCAACGAAGUAUACUGGUACAUUUUCUAUAGACAUGUAUUGUACGCAGUCUUAAGCAAAAACACAAAAUCAAAUACAUGUAUUCACAAAAACCCAGUUUUUCCUGAAUCCACGAAAAUUGGUGCCCACAAAACUAAAUGAAUUUACAGUAGUGAGGUAAUGUUCAUAUGUCUGUUUGUCUGUCUGUCUGUCUAACAGUCAGUUCACAUUUUCACAUUUCGAUAAUUUUAGAUUGAUUCAUGUUUGGCAAUUCCAGACUGACUUUUGAAUCUUAAUUAUCAUUUGAUUAUUACUAUAUUAUUAAUUUUUACUUAUGAAUACUGCAUUGAUUGGCCUGUCAUGACCCUGUUAAUAACUAGCUGUAAUCAGAUUUUCACUCAAGAGAAAUUGCCAAACAAGCUAGUAAAUUAUAUAAUUUUUGCAUUAACAGAUUUGUUUGAUAGUGGUGAUUUUGCAAAUUUCAUUUUUGACAUUUUAUUGAUUGUUGGCUACAAUUUUAUGCUGACAUCUGCAAAAUAAUUAUAAUUUACACAGUAAACCUUUUUUUUGGAUUAUAUCAUUAAUGCACAAGCUUGAAAUAUUCAAAUGCUUUAUAUCUUUUGAGCUUCUACUGGAAAUUACAAAAUAUCUAUCAUGUGUUAAAAAUAUAAUUUCUAAUGUUGAUUGAACUUAGGAAUAACAUAUUUGACAUCAGAAAUCAGAUUUUUUUUCCUCAACAAAGGAUAAAUUUGUCAUUAGAAUUAUCUAAAAAUAGUGGCACCAUUUCAGGAGAUGGCUAAUUUGAUUUUUAAAAGAAAAUGGAAUUAGAAAUCAGUUUGAAGCUAUUUAUAGUCUAAACAUAUUCUUAAAUUAGAAUGAAUAUUUUCUAUAUAUAUGGAAGAGUCAUGAAAAGAUAUAAUCAAGAUCUAGUAUUAAUUGUCUCAGCCCAAUGUAAAUAGUACAGUAUGUAUUAACCUAGAACUGUCACUCAAGUACAGUCAUAUAUUAUGAGUAGGAAUAUAGUACUUUACAAAAUUCAGAUAAAGUGAUUCAGGCAAUAUCAAAAGGAAUGUUUUACAUUACACAUUUUUAGCCUUAAUAUUCUAGAAUUUCCUGCAUAAGGCAGAAGUCAACAAUAGAUAAAAUUAAAACUGACUUUAAUUGCCUCAAUCCUUUGCUAAAAGUACACUGUGCAUAAUUCUUGAACUAGGUCACUCAUGUUAAAGUACAGUAAAAAUUCUGGUUUAGUAAGUGUAUCUAGGAUAUUAUAUUGUAGAACGUUUUUGAAACACUUGAACAUUUUUUGUUGUUUUUAUUUUGUUGUUUGAGUUGAUGUAACUUAGUUCAGUAAAUGACCCCAUAUUUAGUUAACUCAUUUAGAUGUCUUUUUUUAGCACAUCUCACCAAAAGGCUUUGAUGAGCUUUUAAGAAUACUUUGCUGCACUUUCUUUCUGUAAGGACUGAAUCAGUUUUUUUUUUUUGGGGGGGGGGGAGUAACUGCAUCAAAUGCACCUGCUCAAAGACCUUAAUUCUGGUUGUUGCUUAAGUAGACAAAGUGUUAUUUUGGAGGUGAUUUGAGCAAGGGGAAGACACAAGAGGCUAGUAAUAUAAAAGAAAGUCUGACAUAUAUAAGGAAAUGCUUGCUUUAAAAUGUGAAAAAAGGAAAUGGCAAACAUUGUAAAGGAACAGCUGUAGUGUGUCGCUAUGUAAGAACAUGAUUUUUUUACCAACAUUAUAAGAUAAGGAGAUUUUGUAUAUUAGCCAAUGUAACAGCUUUCAACAGAGUCCAAUUAAUGGUCACUGUACUACCCUGAACAAUAAGCUAAACCCAUACCAUAUGGCCAGUUACAAAAGUCUUGAACAUCACAAUUGGUGAAACAAUUCAAAUGAAAAAGCUAACUGCCUAAUAGAUAACAAAUCAGAAAAACAGAUGUUACAGACAGCAACCAAUGGCAACCACUGAAUUAUAGGCUCUUGUACCUUUAGACAACUGACCUACAGAAUGUGGUAUGGUGUAACAACACAAUGUACCUUUAGACAACUGACCUACAGAAUGUGGUAUGGUGUAACAACACAAUGUACUUUAGACAACUGACCUACAGAAUGUGGUAUGGUGUAACAACACAAUGUACCUUUAGACAACUGACCUACAGAAUGUGGUAUGGGUGUAACAACACAAUGUACCUUUAGACAACUGACCUACAGAAUGUGGUAUGGUGCAACAAACACAAUGUACCUUUAGACAACUGACCUACAGAAUGUGGUAUGGUGUAACAACACAAUGUACCUUUAGACAACUGACCUACAGAAUGUGGUAUGGUGUAACAACACAAUGUACCUUUAGACAACUGACCUACAGAAUGUGGUAUGGUGUAACAACACAACAUAAUAUAAGAACAACUGUAAAAAGUUUUUUUCUGUUUUGAUAUUUUGGUUCUUUAUUUGUAAUGUUGGCUGUGAGUGGCAGACAGCUUGCAAUCCCAUUGACUUGUUAUACCCAUGUAGCAUGAGUUGCCCUUAUUUAUAUUUGAACCGAUUGCUAAAAUCAUAUGUCUAGUAUAAACUAAAAUUAAGGUCAAGUAACAGUAAAUGAACGCCGUCUAGCGGAUUCCGCGAAAAUAUGCGACGUUUUGUACGAAUUACGUCCCUUUGACCAGAUUUUGCAAUGUUAAAAUUGCACCAGGCGACUUUUCGUUGGGACAAUGUCAACGGUAAAUUUGACGGAAAGUAUGUUACUUCUAGGAGAAUGAACUUGUUUUUCUAAUAUUAAAAAUUGAAAAUGAAUAUGAAAACAGUCCUGAAGACGAUCUUCAAAAUGAAAAUCAGUACGUAGGGUGGUAGAGUUUGUAUAUCUGCCGACCAGUUAAAACAAGUGUUAAAACUGUUGCUCACUAUUGUGAUGAGAAAAAAACAGUGUGGUCUCGGAAGUAUUCUAUAUUUAGUAUGUCAAAACUGUCCUUUCAAAAACCCUAUAUUCACUGGGAAAAGACAUCGUCUAGCAGAAAAUAAGCAGAAGGGGUGCAAGUUUAGGAGAUUAAUACUAAAGUUAAAACUUAGUAUUGUACGGUAAGAUUCUCCCAUAUUUUGAAAAUUAUCACACCAGUCGGAACAAGUAAAAAUAUUUUCAAAUUAGAGAGAAGGAAAUGAACCACAUAAUCUAAUACUGGUCAUAAAUUCGCCGCUGCUGUCAGUCAGUCAUAGAUGGCACUAAACUAUAAUACACUUAAAUUAAUUAAUCUUGUUCACGGUUGGAACAAUAGUUUAAUAUUCAUACACAGUUUUUAGACUAUAACAAAUUAAAAAUAAGCAAAAAUGAUGUUUCACGAUCAUUAAUCCAUCGCUACAUUUGUAAUCUAACGUUGUUUUUUUGUUUUGUAAUGGUGCUUUCUUUCACGUCCGCAAUUUCGAUGUUAAAAAUAGAACACAAAUCUUUAAAUAGAUACAUGUAUAAAUAGUAUAUGUUUGAAGAUUUAUACAGGGCUUAGUAUCCUAAUAGUAUUGUCUUCUAUGGUUGUCUCCUCAAAGGAAAUUGUUAUAUAUAUAUAUGGGUAAAAAUUAACCGAAUAAAAAAAAUGUACCCUAGCUGAAAGUAGCAUCUCAAAUAUACAAUAGAACUGUUCUCAAUUCUAUUUCACUCAUAAAACUUGAAGGUUGAGAACGAGAUUAUAUCGAUCACCUCUAUAUCAAAGUACUACUAUAUAUACCGACUGAAAAAUAUGCACAGUGUCACAGACUUUCAGUACCUAAAGUUAAAUGUAAAUCCCGUAAGUAGUCAGUACUUUAAUAAGACAGCAACCAGACAACAACACAAGGCCAAAAGAAAAUUAAAAAGGAAAAGGCAUCUUAUGAUAUGCAUUUGACGGGGGUGGGGGCUGCAGGGGUCCUGAUCCCGAAAUCCCGGACUUAAAAACAUGAAAUCCCGAGGUCCCGAAUUUAUAGAAAUUUCAAUCCCGCCAUACCGAAAUUCGAAAAAAGAAUAGCCGGAUCCAUAAAGGAUCAAUCCUGAAAUCCCGUGUUGAAAAACACCCGAUCCCGGAGUCCCGUUUAAGGCCCCCCUCCCCCCCCCCUCAUUUGUGUAGAUGGACUAAAUAACAAAACACAAUAUUACCAGUCAUGUCUCAGCCUGUGUGCGAUUGUUUUUUUCUCUGUUUUUUUUUCGGUUUGGGGGGAAAGGGGGGGGGGGGGGGGGGGGGUUUGUAGACAUAUCAAACAUAAAUAUGUACAUCUGUUUUUAUGUCAUAUGUCUCAACUUCCGUUAAUUUGGUUUCCUCCGAAAUGUUUUUACAUAAUGUAUUUUCUGGAAAAUACACUGUACUACAAAGACUACAAAUGUCUUGAGAGAAAGCGAAAUUCAGAGAGAGAAGCACAAUAAUUUAUUGUCACAUAUAACUAGAUCUCAAAGGGAGUUGCAGAAUAAGGAAUACUGGCGAAUGUCAAAAUUGAAUAAAAAAGUUUGCAAAAUUAUAAAGAAUAACAACGGAAAAUAAAAUAAUUAUUUAAUAUAAUAGUGUAGACCAUGUACAGAAUUUUACAAAAUCGUUAAUUGAAGAUUUUACAGAAUAAGCGUUAUAUCUAAAGAUAAAGAACAUUUAGGUCCACACUUCAUAUGGACCCUUAAAAAUCGUUGGAUUAUCUCGGUGUUGCUGGUCAGUAAUGAAUAAAAAAUCACUGGUCAAUUAAAGGUUUUUGUAAGUGAUGCCAUAUAUUCUUAUUUUCCUGUUCCCCUUGUGUAACUUCCAGUUUUAUUAAAGUUUACAUUCAUCAAAGCCUUAGUUUAAUUUAAAUUAGUUUCCUGUCAUUACUACCCCCCCCCCCCCUUUAUUUUGUCGCAUGUUGUGUAUCAUGUACUGAUUCUGUAUAUACUUCGAGCAUACAUAUGUACACUUAUGAAACAAUAACCAUUUAGUAAACUUUUUAAAACGUUUAUGUAGACUUGUAUACAAUAAAUUUUAUACAGAACAAAUAAGAUAUUAACAAAGAUGUCAGUUUGUCUGCGUGUUUUACUUGUUAACUUGAAGAUGUAUAAAAAACCACACGACACUCUUUCAAGAAUUUGUAGAAUCAUUGAUCUAAAUUAAAUGUUUGUUUAUAUAUGCGAUGUUAAGCAGCAGUAUAUGGACAGAACACGUUUUGUCGUGAUAUGGUACCAAAACACAAGCUUUUACAUGUUCCGCUGCUAAAAAAAACCGUUUUGUUUCAAAAGUGGCCAAAUCAUAUAUCGGAAUGGAGUUAAAGUGUAAACAGAUGACUUACAAGAUAGUCUAAGAGAUUUAUGAAUUGGUUACCCAAAAAUGACAAAGUUCAACUAUCUCUCAUUAGAGCAAAUAUUAAUAAAGAUCAAAACCCUGACCACAUGCAGACAGCAAAGUACGUUCUAGGAUUCAAACUAGAUGUUUUGCGGAAAAACUAUAAACUAUAAAGGGGGACGGACGGACGGAAGGACGGGCGACAGACGGAAUGACGGACGGACAGAUGUACAGGGGUAGUUUAGGGGGCAUAAAAAAUAUAGCUUCAAUUACAUCUUUUAUUGCGUCAACUUGUAUACAGUAACCCUGAUGAUUUCUAUUUUUAAGAUUUUACCAUUUUUGCGUUCAUGUACUUACAACGUAUUUUUUGUCGGAAUUAGUAAUUGUUUUAGAUAUGUAUAUUGAUAAUGAACAUACUUGUAUCACAUUUUUACAACGUAUAAUUUCUUUUUAAAAUGUUCCAUAAAAGAGGGUCUGAUUGGGGUUUACGGAAUACAGAAUAAUGGGCAAAAAUUGCAGAGUAAAAUGCAAAAAAGAAAAAAAAAGAAAAAGUGUAUAAUGAGGUGCUAAAAUAUAAAGAAUAAAGAAUAUUGGUAAUACUAAAUAAAAUUUUAUGAUAAUUAUCCAGACUCUUAUGAUAAAAAGAAUCUAUCAAUACGAAACCCAUAAUCAUCGUGCAUAAUCAACACGAAGAACGUUGGAAAUUAUUAGCAUGAUAACUUGACGUUAUAUAAUAAAAAUUACGACGUCACGAAUUUUUAUGUUUUUUUUUGUCAAAAUGUUGGGUUUGCGUCGCUUCUACAGGGAAAACGAAGUUGGUGACCAUAUUUUUUUUUAAUAUCAUCUAAUUCGUAAGACAAAGAGGAAAAAAAUAUCAAUUUAAAAAAAAAUUCUAUGGAGCGGUUCUCGUGAUUUAUACUAGAAACCGAAAAUUGUAGAAGAAAAAUAUAGAUUUACCCUAUAUAUUCAAUGUAAUUUAGUACCCUCUCGGACCAUUUUUAAAAAUGAAUUUUUCUUGAAAACGAAGUCGGUGACAUAUACUUUUUUUUACAUUUUCUGAUGUAUAUUUUCAAUAUCUAAUUGAGUUCUAAGUUUUAAAAAAAUCUAUGGACUAGUUUAUUUACUGAUCCUUGACCUUAAAUGAAUUUAACUAAUCUUUCAAGAAUAUGUGUAGAAUUUCACAUUCUUUUCUGAAUUCACUGUCAUUUUAUGGCUUUAUAUUUAUUCUGUUAAAAAAAAAAAUUGUAGACAAAAAUAGUAAUGUUUUAUUGAAGAUGAUAUUUCUUGAAACAUUUACUUUUCAUUGGAUAAAAAAACUGAAAUUUUAUGUGAUAUGUUACAGUUAAUUCCAACUUGCAUUUGUAAUGUAAAAGUCAUCUGACAAACUGAAAAUAGGAUAAAAUUAAUGCUAUUCAGAGUAGAGAUUCUAUAACUGGAUUCAAAAAUGUUGAUCUGAAAACCACCCAUAAAAUUAACUAGGCUUGUAAAAUGAAAUUGUCCAAUAAGCUUGUAUCAUUACUAGAUCGAAAACGCAAGCCAAUUGGUGAAAAAAGACAGUAGUUUUGUUGUUUGAGGUUGUUAAUGUGCUUCUAUAUAUAUAAUUGUUAUUGAUCUUGCUGCCAAUAAACUUAAACACUCUCAAGACUCAGAGUAUUCAGGAUCAUUUGAACAUUUGCAGAGUGCAGCUGAUCACCUGAUUUGUUAAGGUGAUGUAAAUUGUUAUAGAUGGAUAAUAGUUAAUUACACAAGAAUAAUCAUGUGUGAUAGAUUCUUUGAGUGUGGAUAUAAGAUGUGUCAAAUGAGGUUCACAUGACAUAUUGUUAAGUUUGACUGCGUUUGAAAAAUGCCUGCAUGGUAAGUGAUACAAUCGACUUUUAUUAUAGGCUAUUUAUUUAUUUCAAUGGAAUAUCACUUUUAUUCUAUUUAUUUCUUGAAUAAUUAGAUAAAAGACUAGUAUCAUUAAUUAAGUAUGUCAUUUUAGUAGACGAUUUUGGUUAUAACAGGUUGUAAGGGUUCUUUUGUUUUAAUUAAUUAGUUUUUGGUGGUGUGAAUUUUUUGAAGAAUUUGUUUAUCUUUUGAUAAGAAGACAAGUAAAUAUUUUUAAUCAGCAUCAGUAUAUGAGACAGAAAUCUGGAAAUGUUUAGUCUAUAUCGAUGAAUAAGUUGUUGACCUAAUUCUCAUGUCAAUAUAACUCAAUGGUAAUUAGCAUUUUUUAAAUUUGUAUUUUUGACAAGAAUUUUAUUCAAAAUAAAAGAAAAAACUCAGUUACAGGAAACUAAUAUAUAUUCAUUUAUUGAAAAUGAAUAAUAAUGAGAUUUAUUUUAAACCAUCCUCUAUUACAAGACCUACCUAUUGUUUUAUUUGUUAACUUGUUCUCGUCCUGAACAUGCAUGAAAGAUUUGCCACUGGACAUUAAGCAACCAACAAUCAAUCAAUUUUUUUUAAAUUUAUUUUUUAUCAUGACUCAAGAUUAAGCAAACUGUUGAAUGUAGAUAUAAAAAAUAAGGUUAUCUAUAAAAAAUAAAGUUGUUUCAUUUGAGAAAUAUUUUUUUUUAAUAAGAACUAAACAUUUCUACUGAUUUUUAACUACUAGUAUUUACAAAGAAUUGACCAGUUGUCUUUACCUUUACUUUGACCACAAUCUAUAAAUCAAUAAAUACUUUUCUACUUCCUCAUUGUCAAUCUUCCUUUGUAGGGGAUAAUAUUUCUUUUCCCCCAUCUUACAGUGUGUUUGGCCAUUAAUGAAUUUUCUUUGACUAUUGAUAUCAUUCUAACAAAUCAUAUAAGCCUUAACAUUUAUCUUUUAGAUUUAGAAGUUAAUUUGGCUUUAAAUAAUUAAAAUGAAUUACAAAAAGGUAGAAAUGUUAUAAAAUACAUUUGAUAUUUUUACAUUUUCUUUUAAAAACAAAUUUUCUUUCAAUUUCCAACUCAUAUAUAUAUACUGCUUGUGAUUUUCAAUCUGAUAUGGUUCCCUAUUGCAAUCUUGAGAUGAAUGGGUUCAAUGGACCAGGUUGGACAUUGACAGCCAGAUUGGGACUAGCUUUUUAUGUUGUCAGUGUGAUUUGGAGGUUCCUAAGUUUUAUACUCCAGAAAGAGUUCUGUUUGUUGGUUUUUUUUUCAAUCGAUUUGGUAUAUUGUAGUUCUUUUACCUUAUUCCUGCUUUACAUUCAUUAACGUUUUGAGUAAAUGAUGUUUCUUAAGACUCAAAUAUCAACCAAUAAAAAUACAGGGAUUAGUGUUUUGAGCACAAAUUUUGUACUUGGUAUUCUAAAUAAAUUUAGAACCUAAUGUCUUUUAUUACAAAAAAACCUUAUGGCAAAAUUAAAAUGUUCAUCACUUAUGAGUAUUUUUCUCAUGAGAUUUUUUGUAAAAUUUGUAAUUGAGUUGCUUGAGAACAAACACAUCUAGUUUUCAUCGUGGAUUCUUCAAAUCCUGAUUUAUAUGCAAACUGGCAAUGUUAUUUUAUACUCAUAUGUUUAUAGUACCGGUAUAUAAGUAUCCAACCAGACAGAAAGACUUCACAUGCGUGCAGUUUCCGGCCGAUUUUUUCUUCUUUAAUGUCAAACAAUAUGUCAGUUCACGUGAGAAGUACAUUUAAGCAGAUUUUGUAUACAAUAUUAUGACAGCAUUAUCACGAUUUUCCAAUAUAUCCACAAAGAUUAUAUAAUUGUAAAUGACAAAACCAUCAGUUUAUAUCAUGCACUUAGUCAAUUAAAUAUACUCCAAAACAUGAUCUGAUGAAAACAAAAUUCAAAGUAGUUGUAUGGCAACAUUGAGUUCCUAAUAGAAUAUCACUUCCUUCUGUAGAUUUAAGUAUCAGAGUAUAAGUCAGCACUUCUGGAUGACAAUGCAGGACAUUACUUUAGAAUUAUGUAGAAAACUGUCAAUAGCAAUUAUAAGGUAGAAUUCGAAGAUUAACUGACCUCUUUUGCUGCCCCAAAUUGCAGGUUUCCAACUUGCAUAAAAUCAUAUUUGUUCAAGAACGAUAAUAGCAUGAUUUAUGGCUUGUUAAUGUCCAGUGGCAAUUAAAUGCAUUUUAAGAAUGAGAUCAUGUUAAUGAGAUAGGAAUAUGAAAUCUGCAUUGUACUAGACCAAUUACUGAGCCACAUUUUUAACCUGUACAAGGUAGCAGCUAUUUGAUGGUCACUCUUCCUGGGUACGUUAUUCAGACUCCAAGCCUACCAGUCUAUGCUCUAUCUUGCUCUGUGCUUAGCUGUGAGCAACAAAUGCCAAUUAUACUUUAAAUUUAUGGUGUCCUUUUUAUAACAACAUCUUGAACAUUAAACAUGUUGUAGGAAAUGAAAAUGUCUAUUUAAAUUAUCAAUGUUACAACUGAAGGAAGUACUAUUAUUUUAACAGUUUCUGCUUAUAGAGCAAUAUUGAGGAAUUAUUGUUUUCUGUUUAUUUAUAAAAUUAAAUUAUACAUAUUGGAUUAUUUUAUGUUACUCUUAAUAUUUUCCUUUAAAAUUUAGAUUUGUGUAAAAGAAUAUAUUGACUUUGAAAACUUUCAGAAACCAAAGGUCUGCUGUAAUAUGCUUUAAUGUUAUUUUCUUGUUGGAAAAUUGCCUCCCACUAUUUAUGACAUGUAUUAAAGGUCAAAAUUGUGACUCUUAAUAUAAUAGAAAAUAUCAUGACAUAUUAAACAGUUUAACAUUUAUUUGAUUAGGGAUAAUUGUAAUUAUAUCAGUUAUUAAAGAUUCUAAAAUCUGUGUACAAUUAUACCUGCUAAUGAUGAACUAUGGUAUCCCUAGAAUGUAAAUUGUUAACCACAUCACUCUGGAGGUUGUAUGUAUAUAACAAUACAAUAUACAUGCAGCAUGUAGGAAAAUUCAAAUUUAUAAAUACAUGCUUUUGAAGCAAAAAGAAAAACCAGACUAGCCUUGCCAGGUUAAAACCACCAUUUCUACAUAAGAAAAUGCCAAUACUAAGUCAGGAAUAUGACAGUUGUUUUUCAUUUAUUUGAUGUUUUUGAAUUUUUGAUUAUUUCCAUUUGAUAAAGCACUUCAUUUCCGUUUUCCUUUGUAGUUUGGUAUUUAUAUGUAUGUCAGGGGCGGAUGCAGGAAUUUUCGAAAGGGGGGUGCUAACCCAGGGCACCCAGGGCAAAGGGGGGGUCAAAACAUAUGUCCCGAUACAAAUCAUUGAUCGGCAAAAUAAAGGGGGGGUGCGCACCCCCGGAACCCCCCCCCUGGAUCCGCCACUGUAUGUUAACUUACUUUGGUAUUUACAUGUAUGUUAACUUACUUUUUGCAAACUUGUAAUUUUAACAUGACUAUAAAGAUAAAACAAAAACUUAUUUAUACCUUUUUUUCAUACACUAAUUGCUGUCAUCUUGAUUUGUAUGGUGCAGAAAAGGGUACAAAAGGCACACAUAUAUAUUCCAACCAUUCUCUUAUAUGUCACGCUACCCAAAAUAAUUUAUCAGUUUGAUAUAAUAUACUAUUUAGUAUGAACCAUUUUCUUUCAUUGCCUGCCUUUUUAUUUAUUAUGCAAGCCAUUGUUUAUAUUUAUUUUUAGCUCACCUGCCACAAAGGGCCAAGUCAGGGCUUUUUCAUGACUUGAUGUCCACUGUCUGUCAAUGUCUAUUAACUUUUACAAAAUUCUUCUCCUUUGAAACUAACUGAGCCAAGUUUGGGUCAAAUUUAACCAAACUCGGCCAUAAUCAUUAUUGGGUAAUCUAGUUUAAAAAAUACUAGAACACACCUGCGAAAUCGCGUGCAUUCAGAGCGCGGUUGAAAGUAUGUAAAGUGUUGUAGGAAGAUUUAAUGACUUGAGAAUUUCAGAAAUAGGUACUUGGGGACAGGAAAAUGUUUUUUUAUCCCUUUAUUUCAAAAAUUCCCAUUUUUUUGUUUUCUAUUAAUUACAGUGUGAACAUAUAUUUAGUAUAUUAUGAACAUGCAAGUCAGGAGCCUGUAAAUAAGGUUGUCGUUUGUUUACGUGUUACAUAUUUGUUUUUCAUUCAUAUUUCGAACAUAAAUAAGGCUGUUAGUUUUCUCGUUUGAAUUGUUUUACACUCAUUUCUCGGCCUUUUAUAGCUGACUAUGUGGUAUUGGCUAUGCUCAUUGUUGAAGGCCGUACGGUGACCUAUAGUUGUUAAUUUCUGUGUCAUUUUUGUCUCUUGUGGAGAGCUGUCUCUUCGGCAAACAUACCACAUCUUCUUUUAUUGAAAUCAAUAAAUUUUUGUAAAAGAUUUAAUGAAUUUCAGAAAAGGUAUCAAAAGUCAUAGGUACAUGUACUUUGGGACAUGACAGUUGUUUUUCUAGCCCGGCUCAUCCUUUUUUACCCAAAAAUUCUCCUUUGGUUUCUAUUAAUUUUAAUAACACAUAGAUAAUUUAAGAAAUCCACUAGCCCGACGCCCAGGACUACAAGUUAUUUAGACCUUGGGCAACCAAAUUAUGUAACCCAAAAUGCCCGACGGACUAGUAGCAAAAAAUUCUUGGUGUUUCUAAAAUUGAAAGGGGAAAUUUCCCCUCAUCACUUUUCUAUCUUAUCCAAUCAGAUUCAACUUCGUCAUCUGGGAUUCCCAGAAUUUGAACUGAUUUUGUACAAGUUUUAAAAUAGAACAAAUAACUCUGGGUGGAUCUUGUACUUUCAAUAUCGAUGUGUCAGUACAGGGGGUGGUAUUGUACAUUGCUUAUGCAACCUGAUUUUACCUCCUGAUUAAUUUAUUGCAAUAUAAAUGUGAAUCCGUUUUGACAGUAGAAACCUGACUUUUGUCAGAUAUAAAUUUGAAACAUGUGCUGAUAAUUCUUUUACACAAACAUGAUGAUGCUAUUGUAUCUGAUAAGACCCCCUCCAAUCAUUUUACAUACCCACGUAUAGCAGUGGUCAAGACUUGUAUCAUCCCCGGAUUUGGUCAACUCAUUAUAUCACAAUUUUCAGUGAAUAUUCAAUUAUCGAUAAAUUGAAUAUAUAUGCUAAUGGAAUAUUUUUUGCUGAUAUAAUUUUUGAAUAUCCAAUUUGCAAAAAUCUACUGUACAAUGCCGUGAAUGGAUAAAAAUGGUUAAGUUUAUAGAAUUCAUUGUUAUUGUAGCAAACUCUGAAUUUGUAAGGCAUACUAGGGCUAGCAGGUCAGUUUUGUUGGGCUAGUAGUUCUUCCAACAGGGCUAGUAAAAUCUUGCAACCAAUUACCCCUGGGCUAGUGAGCUAUAACAAAAUUUCUUAACCCCUGUUUUAGCGCUUAUCUGUAUAGAGUAUAUGCACAUUCAUUACUAUAAAUAAAGUGUAUAGUAUAUAUGCACAUUCAUUGCUAUAAAUAAAGUGUAUUUGUUUUUUUACUUUCAAUUCUCACUUUACUAAUCAAUCCACGGGCCAGCGGUCAUUGAUAUAUUAUACAGACUCUCUCAAUUAAUAAACUCUGUGACCACCGUGGAUAGUAAACUUGAAAAUAAUAUCAGAUAGAAAAUACUCUUUAUUCGUAGUAUAUUAUGUAUGUUCAAGGGAAAACGAUACUAUUUAUUCUGCCAUAGGUGACAAUAUUAACAUUUUCUAAAUUUACCAGCUUUUAUAAUAAAAACCUGGAUAAAACAUUUAUGUGUGAUGUUAGUACUUUAUUAAUCUAUUUUAAAAAUUGAAGCCAAAUACAUGUAGUAUCAUGACCAAUUUCCAACGGAGCUUGUUUAUGUUAUCCAUGCCCACCAUCAUUUUGCACCUAAUUUAUAAAAUUUUGGAAACCUUUUCGAAUAAUUCUCUACAAAAUAUUUCAAUAGGUUUUAAAAUUUAUAUUGUAAAUUUACACACUGCAGUUAUUCAUAGAUAAAUAAAAAAAUAUAUUGUACCCUUACAUCCAAUCACAGCCCUCCUACCUUCCUUUACCUGUCUUGGGUACACAAAAGGCCAACCUAAUGCUGGGAAAAUGUAAUAGUAACGUUUUCCCUCAAAGUAUAAAGAAAACGCAAACCAAAGUCUAAUCUGACUUAAAAUUUCGUCCAAUGUAGGAAAUAAUAUCUGGAUGCUUUUUUUCUUGUUUUUCUCCCAAAAUAACUCAAUCUGAAUAAUCAUAUGAAUGGGUGACAAAUGCAACUAUGCCAUGUACCUAUAGGAUAUAGAGGCAUGAUGAUUAAUUUAUUGUGGAAAGAAGAGAAGCGACACACAAAAUGAGGUCUUUUCAUAGAUGUCUGAUAACCCUGCAUACCAACCAAAAUGUCUGACAUGGCUUGAAAUAAAACUUAAGGUAAAAUGCAAGUUUUGUUCAUUAUAAUAUUGCUAUGAAUAGAAAAAAUCUGACAGGGUAUGACAUGUUCAGAAUGUUAAGCUCAAACCAGAGUCCAUAUGUGUAAAAACUCUGCUGUCUUCUCAUAGGUGUUAUUGAAUUUUUCCAUAUUACAAGUUACAACAUAUAUUUGAAUUUUUGUCUUAUCUCAAAAAUUAUAAUGUGUUUGCCUGGUACCAUUAAGAUUAAAAAAUAAUUAACAAACCUACAUAACUCCUAGUUAGACAUUUUUGUACAUGUAGUAUGAGUGUUCCUGAAUGUUUGCUAUGUUUAAAUCAGCUGUUUCUUCCAACUAUAACUAUGCAAUUUCAUAAGAACAAUUUCCAUUUAAUAUACCGCUUUAUUAAUAGCUAGAGGGGAUUGCAUGUUACGACUUCAAAUACUAUUUGUUCUUGUUUUCAUUUAUUUUUAUGUGUAUUUUAUAGGCACCUCCAGAAAAAGAUUACAUUAAAGUUUAUAAAAAUAGCAACCAGAAUGAAUCUCCAAUCAGGGCAAAAUGAUUUAUUGGUGUAUAAUUGGAAGUGAUUAAAACUACUCUUCAGAGAAUUAAUAAAGGUUCCAUUAUUUCAUUUAGGGCACAAAUGAGUUUUUUUAUUGACACAGAAAAUGCCAAGUAGAUUACUGUGAUUUCACCCCCACAAUGGGACAUAUACCAUACAUAAUUGUUUCAAAUAUGGAAAUAGUAGACAUAUUUAUAUAGGUUUCUGGUACUUCGUUUUGUGUUUAUUUAAUCAAUAUUUUCUUAUUUCUCAUAGAUUUUCUGUGUUACAUUUCAUAAAUGAAGGAGUUGUAUAUUGAUUUUGUAAACCUCAAGGUAGUAAAUGUUUUUUUCCGCCAUUAUAUUUUUGUGGAUGUAUUCUCUUCCUUGUUGAUUAUUAAGGCCAAAAAAUGAGUUUGUCAAGACAAUUAAAUGCUAAGCUGAAUUUCUUAAUACCCAUGGUGAUGGCUAAUGGCUUCGUCUAACCUUAUAUAUUUGUCCUUUUUAUAUCUUGGCUAAAGUUGACAUCAAAGUAGAGUUUAUGUGGUUAGAUUUAUGACAUAGGAUAUGAUCUUAAUUGUUAUCUCGUCAAUAGAAGUCACUGAGUCUGUUAGUCUGUCCAUAUCAGGUUAAAGAUUGUAGUUGUGAUAGUUCACCAUGAAGUGUUGUCACAUUUACUUAAGUACAUAUGCUCAUGAUGAUGUGAACUUUUGAAAUGUAUACCAAAUUAGGGUGUUGUGACCUUGUGGCUUACUCCACGUCCACUUGAGUUUUUGUCCAUCUGAUGAGUUAAGCCUUUUUCAACUGAUUUUUAUAGUUCGUUCUUAUGUUGUACUGUUAUACCACUGUCCCAGGUUAGGGGGAGGGUUGGGAUCCCGCUUACAUGUUUAACCCCGCCACAUUAUUUAUGUAUGUGCCUGUCCCAAGUCAGGAGCCUGUAAUUCAGUGGUUGUCGUUUGUUUAAGUGUUACAUAUUUGUUUUUUGUUCAUUUUUUUACAUAAAUAAGGCCGUUAGUUUUCUCGUUUGAAUUGUUUUACAUUGUCUUAUCAGGGCCUUUUAUAGCUCACUAUGCGAUAUGGGCUUUGCUGAUUGUUGAAGGCCGUACGGUGACCUAUAGUUGUUAAUGUCUGUGUCAUUUUGGUCUUUUGUGGAUAGUUGUCUCAUUGGCAAUCAUACCACAUCUUCUUUUUUUAUAUGAGCAGGUUAAUUGUUUUACCUUAGUUUACUAUUAAGUACUGGUCAAAUCAACUUGAAACUUAGUACACAUGCUCAUUAUGACGUGUAAUUAAAAUAAAUAUAUAAUAUAUACAAAAUAACAGUUUUGAGAAAAAUUUACUAAACAUGAAAAUGUGAUACUAGUAUUAUGAGCAGGUCAUGGCUAUUGACACAUAUUCUUCAGUUUUUUUUUUUCUUCCAAACAUUAUAAUUUCUAUUGAUAGAUUACUAGGUUAAAAUUUUCAUACAGAAAAUAAAUGUUGGUAUAAAAUUGUAGUCCCUUAAAGCAAACAUGACUGUACACAAUGGUUGCUAACUGGAGCAAAAGACAUGCAUGUUGUACUACAUAUUGUUUUUGGGAACUGUAACUUCUACUUGGGCCAUGCUUUCAAAUUCUGUUGUUUAAAGUUAACAAAAUAUAAAGGUUUUUUUGACAAAAUGGACUACAUUAUCAUUUAGAAUAUCAGAAAGCACAAAGAAUUGAGAAGGCAAAAAAUACCCUGAGGCAACAUAACAAAAAAGAAAAUAAAUGAAAAGAAAAACAAUUUUCUAGACAAACCCUAUGAAAACUAUUUAUGAUCAAAUAAAGGUGAAGGAUGGUGAAGUUUUCUGCUUUGUUGGAGAUUUUACUUCUCCUUCAUAUGUCUAGUCCUCCAAGUGAUAUUUCCAAAUUUUGAAACAAUAUAUAUAGAAAUACAUUGACCUUUAUAUCAUUAUGCUACUUAUAAUAACACCAACAAUACCACAUAAAGUGGUUUACUGUACUGUUAAUUAGCCGACAACUCAAUGUCAUUCUAUGGUUAACCACAAAUAAUGCAAUAUAUAGACUUAAUCUCUUUGACAACAUAAUUCUCAAGGUUUUCUUUAAUAACACCAAUUUCAUAUCUGGUAUAACUAGUAAACAAUAACUAGCUGCUUAGACGUUAUAAAAGUUUAAACAUUUAUAUUAACAAAGGCAAUGAUAAAUGUUAUAUAAAUGACACAUAUCUGAGAAAGUGAUAGAGCAGAUUGUUAUCCUUAGAAAAAAUUAAACGCAGACUCUGUGGUUUUAAUUGGGUGGUUUUGACUCAAAUGAAGUAAAACAGAUUAAAUUUAGGUAGUAUGAACACAUUUAAUGGUGGGGAGAACCUGUAUCAAAAUUUUAAAGAUUGUUGCCCAAUAAACCAUGUGGUAGAACAGAAUGUCACCCUUGUAUAAACCAAUGAAAGCACUGCAUUUUGUAGUGAAUAAUAAUUACUUGUAAUUUUAUUGUCAAGCAGUAUAUAUUACAAUGAAGAUUAAACAUAGUAAGUUAAAAUGAUUCAAACAGUAUCAGUAUGUAUGAAAUAGGAAAACAAGAACAAUAUUUUUCAUCUUAAAAUUUCAGAAGACACUGAAUCAAGUAAUGUAACUCAUUCCUGAAUGUUUGUUGGAAAUUGAUUAAUAUUAUACUGAGGAAUCAUUUAUUUUCGUGGGUACCAAUUUUUGUGGAGUGAGAAAAAAUUGCAUUUUCUUGGAUAUUUAAUUUCAUGGUUUUGCCAGUGUCUGCAUACAACCUUAUAGAAAAUUUGAAUUUCAUUGAACAUUUAAAUUCAUUGUUUAUCUAUACCCAUGAAACCCACGAAAAAUUGGUAUCCAACCAAUAAUAAUAAAUCUACAGUAUAUGAGAAAUUAUUCAUUAAUGAUAUUCUAACAUUUUCCAGUAGCCAUCUGUAUUUUUUUUUUUUUUUUAAAUGGUUGAUUUUAAUGGAAAUUCCAAAUUUACUAAAUGGACCUCCAAAUUCUCCUAUCAUCCUGAUGAAAAACAAAUGCUAAAAGUAUAUUAAAAUUGUGUUUGUCAUCCACUAAUGAUUCUUUACCAACGACAUAGACUUGUUGUCUUACACUGUGUGCAGUAUCACCUUGUCCAAAUUUUAUCAGAAUUUGGUCAGAUUGAAUUGAUAUUAUGUAAUUAGUCGGAAGUAAGCAAUAUUUUUUUGAUAUCUUCAAACAAAAGUAAAAAUGAUUCCUCUAGUUUCGUAUGGCAGCUCCUUGUGAUUUAUUGUAUCUCAAACAAUAAGUGCAUUGGCAUUUUUUUCUUUAUGAGAUCUAUGUGACAUUUUUCUGUUCCUAUGUCGUAUUGACAUAAAAAUGGACAUCAUUAUAUCUCCCAAUCCUUUGCUCCAGAAAUUGAUUUGACAUAAUUGUAAUUGAAGUAACAUUUCUUAGGCAUCUUUUGCACUAUUAUCACUAUACUGAUAAGGUUUGAAUCACAUUGUAUAUUGACUUGAAAUCCUGGAAGUUUAGUUAAAGAAGCCAGUUUUAUUGGAUAUAAUAAGCAUAGUCCAAUAUUAAACAAAGUCCUUUAGGCAGGAAUAAAUAAUCCAUUAAAAUCUGAAAAGAACACACAAAUUUCAUUUUGGAAUUACCAUUUUUGUGUUUUAUAGAAAAAUUAACACAUAAAUAAAAAAGGAACUUGUCUGUUAGUUAUCCAAAAUUAAAUGAAAUUAAUAAAUCUGCACAGUUAUGUAUAUGCUUUAAGACUGGGAGUUAAUAAUUUUUGAGAUAUUAUUGUUAUGUUGAAAAAUAUAAGGUAUAAGUAGCAUUCAGUCAUCCAAUAUUCAAGAAGUUCAGGACAGAAUUUUAAAACUAUGAAAAACGGAAUAAUUUAUGUAUAAAUUAAGAAAUAAUUCAUGGAAGCCAUAGAUUGUUGGAAAUUUACACAUGGCCUGGGCCGUGAUAUUCGAAUUUUAUCCUGAGCAUUUGUGAGGGAUAAAAGUAACGAAUAUCAAGGCACAGGCCAUGUGUAAAUUUCCAACAAUCUAUGGCUUCCAUGAAUUAUUUCGAUUCUAAUAGGACAAAUUCGGUCAUCAAAAUACUGCAGCGAGGGUUGGUUUGGUGUGUGUGAGGCUGAUUUUUUUUGCUCCCUGUUAGAUAAAGCUCAAAUAUCUUAAUAAAUCCGUAGCUUGCAUGGGUUAUUUAGUGAAUAACUGCUGGAAAAAAAAACUGUUUAAUUCUUCUAAUUCUCAAACCCAACAUUUGCCAUUUUAUAUGAUUUUCUCCUAAGCUUCCGUCAAAUCCUAAGUUGACAUUUCGUAACUAAGGAGCCGCCAUGUUGACAUGCUGAAAUUAGUAGCUAUGCAAAUAAUGCAAUAGAAUAGAAAACAAAACAAAACCUAUCUCAAAAAUCAGCUUUAAUACAAUAUCAUACGAAUUUCGAUAGUUCAUGUAACAGAAAACUUUCAACUUUAGCGGUUUCAUUUGUAUGACGUUAUGUUUUGAAAUGACUUAAAUGCGCCAAAAAAAUUGAUAGACUUGGCGAAAAUUUAUUUUAUUUUUAUUUUGUUGAUUUCUCCGAGCUCUUAUGCAUUACUUCUUUUUAUUAUGCAUCAGAAUAAGAAUAACAGUUAUUUUGUCUUUUUUAAUUGUCCUUUUUAAAACAAUAAAAUCAGCAAAGGGUCUGCAAAUAGGUUCCAAUACAUGUAGAUUUAUGUGGCAAGUAUAUUGUAAGCCAUUAUUAUGUAUAUCUCUAAGUCUGCGCUAAGUAUAGAUGUAUCGAGAAUUUUAUCACAGUUUUGUUUACAAAGCGAAAGAAGCACGUCAUAUUAAAAUAUUUUAUAACAAUUUUACAAAUUUUGAUGACAUCCAUGGAACUUUUAAAGAGAUAUAACUUUAAAGAUAUCAUUGGAAAAAUUGGAAAAUUUAAAUCAUCUCUUUUGUGUAAACAGUAAACCAUGUACAAAAGUAAUGGCAAUUUUGUACAGAAAUUAUUAGAAUAAGUUAUGCAAGGAAGAUUUCAAGAAAUAAUAAGUUUUAUUGCAUAGCAAUAUAAUAUUUCCAACAGAAAGUAACCAAAAGUUAGCGUGCAAUAAAUUCCAAUAUUGCACUAGUGCAAUAAAUCUUCAAAAUUCAUGACAUCAUCAACGACAAAAUCUUAGUUUAAACUAAGUUUUACUUUCAAAUAUUAUAUUGCUAUACAAUAAAAGGGUUAUUGCAUGAAUAUUGGGGAAUAUUGUCCCUCGUAGAACAUAUAUUGCACUCGCAAGCUCGUGCAAUAUAAAGUUCUACUCGGGACAAUUCCCCAAUAUUCAUGCAAUAACCCUAUAAUACACAGAAAAUUGAAAUUGUUUAUUCAAAAUAUAGCAAAAAAGUAAGGAAAUAUUAAACACUUAUAAUUGUAAUAAGAAGUUAAACACAAAAAAGUAUAUUAACUUUUAAGCAGUAUAUAUUCAUUAUAUUUUUUACAAAUUUUUGUACUAAUAAUUAAUGAUUAUAAAUAACUAAGUCGAAAAGAGGUUGAAGUUUAAUUUUUGAAAACUCUUCUUUUGUUGGGUAAUUAAAAGACAUCAAAGAAGCUUACACCCAUUAAAAUCUUAUCAUGCUUCGACAUGCUUUAUUUAAAUUGUAGAUAGCUGGAAAAUAAUGAGUAAAGAAGAAAGAAAUUAACAAGUGAUUAUUCCUGCUUGUGAAUGCAUCAGCUGAAAUAGACAUUUGGUUUAUAUUUAGAAGCAAGUUACAAUUUCCCACUGAUAGCAUAACAGUCAGCUGUCAAUCACUGAUCUCAAGUGUUACUAAAAAUAGAUUUAAUGAAAACCAGUCAUGCACUGUAAAGUGAUUACUAAGAAUAGAAAGAAUUGAAACAAUGUGCUUUCCAUCAGCCAGGUCAAAGUGGAGCAUGGCAAGGUAUUUAACCAUGUUUCUUUGAAGAAAAAAAUCAUAAAUAAACUUUUGAACAGAUAAGCACUAAUUGACCAUGUAUCUUAGAAAGUAAAAAUAGCCUGCUAGGCUGACUCAUAGGUUGUAAAUUAAGUUUUUAUUACACACAGACACUUUGUAAAUAUGUUUCUUCUUGAAGUUGUGUGGGAUGUUUAUUUCAAUCCUGUGAUUGACAGCACAAACAGUUUUUGAAAAAUAUUUCUGGAGGGUUGUAUGGCUAUUUUCAAUUAAACUUCACAAAAAAUAAAAUGCUGAAUCAGCAUAUAAAGAAAUUUCCGAUUUGACUGUACCUGAAACAGUAUUUUUGAUUUUAAACCAUGAUAGCUUUAUUUGACAUCACUAGAUAUUCUUAAUUAGUAAAAUCCUAUUAUGAAAAUAAAAGCUCUAUGCACUGAGAGAAAAUAGGAUAUGAUGUACUGUGAACUUUUGAUGUAUAUACCGGUAUACAGCCCAGGUGUGAAGAAGAGGAACAAACAUCUGACAUUUGAAAACCAAUAUUCAUAGGAAGUCAAUUUUGAUUGAGUUGAUUAGAAUCAUUGCUCAAUUCUAUGUAUUCCCCUCAGAAUUUCCUUGCUAUGAGCUUGUUACAAUGCAAAAAGGAAAGCUUUUUACAAAGUAGUUAUAAAAUUGUUGUAAUAGAUUUAUUUGUUUUUUAGAGAAGAUGUAAAUGUGUUUAUCGUUAUGUAAACAAUCAGUACAGGUAAUACACAUUUAUGCAUAUCAGUGGCAGAUCCAGAACUUUUCCUAAGGGGGGGGCUCUGAUUGACCUAAGGGGGGCCGCUCCAGUCAUGCUUCAAUGAUUCCCUAUAUAAUCAACCAAAUUUUUCCCACGAAAGGGGUGCCCGGGCCUCAAGGGCCCCCCCUCCUGGAUCUGCCUGAUGCAUAUAAAUGUUGCAUAUGAAAGUUUGUUCAUCAUUGAAGGAAAUCAACCUUUUAUCCAUACUUAUUUAGUGCCAUGGAGAAAAGUUUUUAUCAGACCAAAUCUGAAAAUUGAAAUAGGUCAAACAGGGUAAACUUGAUGGAAGGGUCAGUCAUCGUGUUGGUGUAUGGCCAGAUUGGGUAAAAUCUUUUUAUAGCUGACAUAUGUAUACAAAUCUGGUAUAAUGAUUCACCUGUUACCUUGGCAACAUACAAGUAAAUAUAUUUAAGGAAUGACGGUAAUAUUUUUUUUGUCUAUGAAGAAAUAACAUAAAAAAUGUUGUGCACACUGAAUAACACGUGUAGCAGGUUAUUUAAAGAGUGCACCACAUUUUUUAUGUUAUUUCGAAAAGGCAGAUAAAAUAUUACAGUCAUUUCUUAUAAUUCAAUUCUUAAUUCUAUUUUGACUGGGAGUAAAUCAUGAAAAAACGUUGAUGACGUCACGGUCACAUGACAAAAUUAUGUAUAUGGGCUGAUAAACAAAAUGAGGUUUGCCAAUCAAAAGACACAUUACAUCCAAAAUUAAAUUAUAUAGCUGAUAAAUUUAAAUUAUUACAUUGGUUGCAAUGAAUUACAUUGAUUUCCCAGUUAGAUAAAAACCGAUAAUUUCACAUGUGAAAUAAACGUGGUUAUUUCACUCUCUGACGUCAUACAACAAUAGGUGUUGUCAAGACGUCGAUAACGUCGGAUCAAAACAAAUUGUCAAUGCGUAGGAAAAAGAUAUAGUUCCUUACAUUUUCUACAUUAAUUUCAUAAAAAAAAGUCAUUUGCCAAUGUAAUAAAAAGAAUAACUAAUCGCCGUAUUUGAAUAUCAAAAAUAAGACAACUUGUGACCGAACGCCGCUAUGGAUUAAACUCGUGCUGCGCACUCGUUUAAUCCAUGUGUCGUUCGGUCACGUGUUGUCUUAUUUUUUAUAUUCAAAUACGGCGAUUAGUUAUACUAUAAAUAUAAUUGGGGAAUAUUAUGUAAUGUUGCAGUUUUAGACAUUUCAUUGUCCAGGAGGAGUAAUAGGAGUAAUAGGGAGCAAUAAUUUUUACAAUGAAAAUAUCCCUUCAAGUAAAUCUAACCUCUAAAGAGGAUCAGAAUCAAGGACAAGGUAUACCUGAAUAUAAAACACAGUAUGCUGCCACUUGAAAGCAAGAAAGGAGUAGGUCAAGUAAGGUCCGAUUUUGGCCUCAAAUUUCAGGUUUAUCUAACGAAAGAUUUUGGACACUUUUUAAACACUGAAGUGUCUAUUUUAAUUGAUUCGAUUAGUUUAUGUGAACAUUUUUAACUGAUUUAGUCAUUAAAAACGCUCCGAUUCUAGCUUAAAUAUGAAAAAUCUAUCAAAUAUACUGUCCAUAUGUUGACCUCAUGUCUAUCUGUAUUUUGUUUUGUUGGUUUUCUGUCUAAUUGAUGUAUACCACACAUUUUACUUUAUCCGUAUUAUUCAAGUAACAAAAAAAAUACCUUCUAUUGAUAACAUUGAUCUUUUAACCUAUCUUUUGAGAAUAAUGUUAUUCCAGCAGACAAUGGACCUUGUGGUCAAUUGUAAAAAUAUUUGGAAAAUCUAUCUGUGCAGCUUAUUACCUCUUGCAUAUAAAAGAGAAGCUACAUGUUUUGGUCCCUACAUGAAAUAUGUUUCAAACAAUCUUUGAUUUUUAAAAUCAAAUGCUGAACUUUUGUACCAUAAUAAAACAGAAAAAUCCCCUAUUCAUGAGUUUAGAUUCAUCCUAAGAAAUGAUGUAAACUUACCUAAAGGGACUAUUUAUACAUUUGCUGGAUUUUGUGUUUAUUCAUUCACUGAAUAAUAACAUAGUUUUGGGUGACACUUGUGCUCUAUGUUAUUUUAGCUGAAACACAUAAAAUAAGUCUAUUCUAUGCAAAAAAAAAUAAAAGUUUAGCUCAAGAUGUCAUUUAAAUAAUGUCACAAUCAAAUUUUGUCAUUUAGGCUUGCUAAUGUAGCACAUUUUUGAAAAGACUUGCAUCUGGUUAGUAAAAAACGCAGUAAAUAUGGUAUAUAUCAAGUUUUUAAUGUCCGUGGAUAAACCUCUGAAAUGUACCUUCUCCUUGAACUUUAAUGUAACCUUCAUUUGUGCUACUCUUAUGCUUGUCUUAGAUUGACAUUUUGACAUUUAGUUGCCAAAGUUUGAAAUGAACAGAUAAUCUUGUAGACUUUUUAACCGGAUUUUUGUGACAAAAAUGUCGGUUAUUGAUUUGGGGAUGUACGGCGGGCGGGCGGGCGGCAAUCAAAUGUUGUCCGUGCAUUAACUCAUGAACCGUUUAACCAAAGCUAUUAAAAUUAUAAUAUGUUGUUACUGACAACAAAAUGGAGGUCAAGUUCAAUAAUGACCAUUUUGACUUUUACUGUUCUGGAGUUAUGGUUCUUGAAAGAUUGAAAAAUGAAGUUUCCAGUUCUGUCUGUGCAUUAACUCAUGAACCGUUCAACCAAAGCUUUUAAAAUUUUAAUAUGUUGUUACUGACAACAAAAUGGAGGUCAAGUUCAAUAGUGACCAUUUUGACUUUUACGGUUCUGGAGUUAUGGUUCUUGAAAGAUUGAAAAAUGGUGUUUCCAGUCUAGUCUGUGCAUUAACUCAUGAACCGUUCAACCAAAGAUUUUAAUAUUUUAAUAUGUUGUUACUGACAACAAAAUGGAGGUCAAGUUCAAUAAUGACCAUUUUGACUUUUACGGUUCUGGAGUUAUGGUUCUUGAAAGAUUGAAAAAUGGCGUUUUCAGUCCUGUCCGUACAUUAACUCAUGAACCAUUCAACCAAAGCUUUUAAAAUUUUAAUAUGUUGUUACUGACAACAAAAUAGAGGUCAAGUUCAAUAAUGACCAUUUUGACUUUUACGGUUCUGGAGUUAUGGUUCUUGAAAGAUUGAAAAAUGGCGUUUCCAGUCCUGUCCGUGCAUUAACUCAUGAACCGUUCUACCAAAGCUUUUGAAAUUUUAAUAUGUUGUUACUGACAACAAAACGGAGGUCAAGUUUAAUAAUGACGAUUUUGACUUUUACGGUUCUGGAGUUAUAUGGUUCUUGAAAGAUUGAAAAAUUGUGUUACCAGUCAUGUUGUUGCAUUUACUCAUGAACCAUUCAACCAAAGCUUUUCAAAUUUUAAUAAGUUGUUACUGAUGACAAAAUGUAGGUCAAGUUUGAUAUUGAUGAUUUUCACUUUAACCGUGCAUCAUUUAUGGUUCUUGUAAUAUUGAAAAAUGCCAGGACAUUGAUAAAUAUUAAUAAAUCCGGUUUGCUGUCGCUCUGACAGCCUCUUGUUUUUAUAUUUUGGUAGAACUCAAUUUUUUAAGCAAUUGUUGUGAAACCUCAGCACCUCCCUAAGGAAAAACAAGAAUACUAAAUGAUUUGUAGGAAUCUACCGCAAAUGUAUGCUUCUUUAACAUUAUUUGAUUUAUGUUAUUCUUUUGUUAAUCCUUUUAUCCUUAUUUCUUUUCUUUUCUUUUCUUUUCAGCUACACAAGAGUGGUAGUUCACUACCCAUAUAUGGUUUUCCUUGUGGUCUUUGUUGUUAUAGCUACCUGCUUAGUCUUGUCCUUGAC
rnacentral:lncRNA from 1 species